rnacentral:lncRNA from 1 species
CAUGUCUCCUAUUCGAGACGAAAAAGCUCCCAACUCCGAACCGGUGUGAAUUUACAAAAGCCCUAAAACCCGACCUAAUCUCCAGCGUGGCGACAACCUUGGGAGGAUCAGUAAAUAGUUAAUAUAGAUCCUGAGGUUUCUGCAGUUAUUGCCGAAUCGUGCGUAUUUACAGAAGACUCCGAUCUGAUCAGUGAAUCGAGCGGGAGACUAGAGCUGACCGCGGAAGAUUCAACAGGAAGAAAACCAAAGGAAAAAUAACGAAGAAACGGAAGACGAAAACGGCUUCUUUAUUCGAUCAAAGGAUCCCCUUCCUAUUCCAUCUUCUCCGGACUUUAUAACGAAGCAGCAGACGCGAAGAGGACGUCCCGUUGGGAUCUACAGAAAGCGCAAAGGAUCUUUAGCAAGACAAGAGAAGACGGAAGCGCGACGCCGUUGACGAUGACUGGCCGGCGGGUGGUGUUGAAGGAGGGAGGAAGAAGAGGAGGAAACAGAGAGGAAGGUUUGGUCGGAAUAAAAACGCUUGCUUUCGUUGACCUUUUUGUGACCGAAAGAGGAUGGCUCUUUGUAGUUGCUAAGAAAUAUUUUCUACUUUUCCCCUCCUUUAAAUAAAAGGAUUAGUUGGGGGUAGGGUCAACAAAAGAACCAGACUCAUCUGGAUCGCCUGAAAUCAGUGAUUCUUGAGAGAAUCGAUCCAAUUCUCAGUUUUAAUUUAUGAGAAUAAGUGAGUACCGGUCCAAUUUCUGAUUUCAUAAGACUGAUUAUAUUAUAAUAAUAUAUUAAUUUUUAAUAUUAAAAUAAAUUUCGAAAUUACUAAUUGGUAAACCUAAAUUUUAAGGCGUCGUCUUCUCUCAUGGUUUUCAUGUUUUUAUAAGAAUUUAGUAAAGUGUAUAAGCUACCUUUUAGCAACUCAAUAAAUGACCCAUUCAAAUAAUACUUUCGGGACUCACAUAGGACACUGUUUUCAAGAAUACGUGGAGUAUCGGUGGAAUUAUUUCUACAGAAAAAAUUUAAUAACACAAAGGUUGUAAGAGAUUGAGCAUUAUUAGGGGAUAAAGGAAAAUAUGAUCAAGAAUCUUAAACUUAAAUAAUAUUUUAAAUUUCAACUUAAAUGAUUUAAAAAUAGAAAAAAAAACCUAUUUCUCUUCUUUGAUAGCGUUUUCCAAUAAAAUAAAGGAAAAAGGUACCCUUAAUUAAGCCGGUUUGAUUUAAAGAAAAAUAUUACUCGAUAUGAAGAGUAUUCACUGUGGAAUUUGAAAAAUAGUAUUAAUAUUGGUAAGACCGAUUCUAUGGAUCCACCCGAAAACCAGAUAGACUGGCAAUUCGAUUCUCAGGUGGGUCCAUGCAAUUAAGGGGUAAUUCUCGGUUCCAAAAAGUUGGAAUGGUCCUUAGCGAGCGGUUUCCGAUUCCAAUUUUUUGGAACUGGUCCCACUCGGACCAUGCACAUUCCUAGUUGGGGGCUAGGUAGCAUGAGCACAUUGUCCGUACUUCCGUGUUGUGUCCGACACGUGUCGGAGCGUGUCGAACACGUCGACACAGUCAGACACACGGUCAACGUUUCUCGACACGUGUGUCCAGGAGAUGAUGGAGGGUGGAGGCAACUCAAGCGAGGGAGGCCAAGGGAGCAUAGAAAAGCCACGAGCGACGGCGAGAGACGGCCAAAGAAAGAGCCGAACAGAGAGAAAGAAGAGAGAGAAAGCCAUGCAACGGACCACCGCGACGGCGAGAGAUGGCGAGAGAGAGCAUAAACUGCGGCGAGGGCCGCUACUGUUGCGAUGGAUCAGCGAGGAGGAGGAGGAAGGUGUUCGUGCGGCGAGGAGAAGGAGGAGAAGGAUUGAGAGGAAGAGGAAGAGGAAGGGGAGGGGGUCGUGCGGCCAGCCGUGAGAAGGAUGAGAAAAAGGAGGGUGGCUAGGGUUUUUGCUGAGGGAACUAAAAGUAAUAAAAAAAAGGGGACUGAUGCGUGACUUUUGAAUUUGGGGUGAGGGAAAAUGUCCGGCUGUCUGUCAGGUGGUGGGGAGGGAAAAAAAGAAAAAAAAAAUUGGGGUAAAGGGAAAGGGAAGGGUGGAUCUUUAGGGAUUUUUUUAAUUGAAAAAUUAAAUAAAUGAAAUUAAAAAAUAAUUUCUAAAAAUUAAAAAAAAAACUAAAUUUUGAAUCAUGAUAAAUUUUUAUCAUUAUAGAAAAUUAUGGAUUUAUUUAAAGAAAUUGAUUCUAAUUUCUUAUUAGUCAUUAAUUUCAUCAUUAACUUUUGUUAAAGUUAAAAACAUGUUUCGCAUUAAUUAUGAAUAUAUUUUUCGAAUUUCUAAUGAAUUGAUUUAUUAAUAUUAUUAGUGUAAAUUUAUUAUAGGCUUUUUUUAAUUAAUUAAUUAUUUAUGAAUUUAAAUCAAAUUAAUUAAAAAUAAAAAUAUUCAUUUAAUAUAUAACGUGUCGCAACGUGUCGAAAUUCUCUAUUUUUUAGAAAUUACAUAUCGACGUGUUAUGUCGUGUCGUGUCACAUGUCCGUGUCGCAUGUCGGUGCUACCUAGGUUGGGGGGUUAUUUAAAAAUUCAAACUCCCCAAAUGGGAAAGUUUUGGGAUGCUUUCAUUACUGACGUAAAUGGCUAGAGUAAUCACAAACCGUCGAGUUUUAAUUCAUUUAAUAUAAUCAUUUAAUUUUAUCUUAAAGUAAUUGAUAUAUAUAUUCAGUUAAUAUAUAAAAAUGAGCAAUGCCGUCCUUUCAUUAAUUUAGGUUCAUGGACAAUAUUGAACAUUUUUCUACAAUUCGGUAAUUAAAUUGAACACGUACCAAAAGUUCAUGAGCUACAUUUAAUAAUUUAAAAGUUUAAUGACGAUAUUACACAUCGAAUUAAAGUUCAUAACUCACAUCACACAUUGUGAUGAAAAAUCGUUGAUCAUCUAUAUCAUUUUUCAUUAUUGAUUGAAUCAUGCUAACUUAGACCGUUAGGUGAAAAUGUGCAAUUAAUAUUUGUAAUUCCAAAAAAAUCAAAAUGAUUCGAGUAAAUUCGAACUCUCCCAUAAGAAUCACAUGAAAGAGUAGUAAUCAUACUCUAUCAAUUAUAUAUGUGCCAAUCUAUGUUUUGUCUGUAUUCUAUGAAUAAAGUUUUCACUUUUUAGAUUAUUUACAAGCCUAGUAAAGAACAAAAUAGUUUUAUCAACUCGAGAUACAUAUAUGUAUAUACAUGAAAAGAAUCAUCGACAUGGAUACUUGAGUCUAAUUAAUUAAGAAAGUUAAGCACGGGAGUUAGGAGUAAGACUUUGGCAUUGUUCAUAAGGUUCGAUGAUUUUGAAUCAAAUUCAUCAACAUAGAUACUUAAGCAUGAAUUUAUUUGUUAACAAAGAUAAGCAUGGAAGUUAGGAGUUAGACAUUGUUAAAAAGAUUCGAUGAUUUUGAAUAUCUAAUUUUUGUCUUUAUCGGUCUUUUCAAUCACAUUUCGCGGUUGCCUAUAAGCAAGAGCACUCCCACUUAUUAAUUCGCACGUCACUAUCCACACACUUUCCUACUUUUUACAGCAUCAUUAAAGUGAGGAAAGAUGCUUUUAACCAGGGAACAAAGUCUGAAAGAUGCCCCGCCCUGAUGUAGGUCUGUGUAGUAACGAUGGUUGAUAAGUUUGUCCUAACCAUGGUCUACCUAAUAUGAUAAUAUAUAACAAAUAUAAACUCUUCCUUGAGGUUUAUCCAUUAAUAGUGACGUAUAGUUAUGUGAAAAUUGAUCAUAAAUCUAUUUCUUAAGUCACUUAUUGAACAUUAGUGGCCACAAUUUCAAUAUGAAAAUGGAAGCUGGGGAGUUUGAAUUUCCACUUUCUAAGGAGUUAGAGUAGGGAUGAUAUAGUUUUAGAUAUGGGUUUUGACUCUUACGCCCUACAAGGAAGUAGGGCAAAAGUCUAAGAGUAAGAAUUAAAGUAGGAAGAGAAUAGGACCAAUAAAAAAAAAAGUUACUUAUUGAAUAAAUUGAUCAUAAAUUGAUUUAAAUCAUAAUAUGUUGUAUUAAAUGGAUCAUAAAUAGAUUUACGAUCGUGUUAGAUCUAUCCUAAUUUCAUGACUCUCUUCAUUUUCUCUCAUGCUUACUCACUCUACAUUAUUAGUUGAGUUUGGAUAUGAGUUUUCAUAUUUUGGGUCAAGUAUGAAAUUAUUUCAAUAAUUGAGUCAGAUCACAUAUAGAUCGAGCAUGGAUUGGAUAUAAAUCGAAUCGAAUCUGGUAUGAGUCAUCAAAUUUGUAUAAGAUAGAAAAUGAGUCAAAAUGUGUUAGAUUAAAUCUAAGUUGGGCUAUUUCCAACGUGACUAAAUUCGAACUUGACUAUUUGCUAAUUCGAUGAGUCUAGGUCGUUCUCCGUGCACAGGAAUAACUAUCUUGCAAUCACCUUCGGCCAGAAUUUGGGUCUACCUCAAAUCCAUAUUACCAGUACUUUUCCGAACGCACAUGUAAAAUUCAGGGAAAAGGAACUCUAUCUCGCAACGUCACUUGCAACUCCAUUUCCUCGGGGGAACCGUCCAUAAAGGGGCGAGGCGCAGUUCCUUGACCGGUCUCUCUCCCUUUCUCUGCUCUUCCUUGAUUUUGAAUGGAAAAGAGAGGGAGGACCGUAAAAAGCCAAAACUCAAAAAAGUAACACUGCCCCAUCUCUCUCUCUCUCUCUCUUCUUUUAUUCUCUUUGGGUUCCGUAAGGGGGAAGUCGUACGAACGCGGUGAGAGAACACGAAAACGAAAACGCGUUUUUGGUCAGUUAGCGCGUGAAGAGAGAGAGACAGAGAGAAAGAGACGCGUUACGUGAUAGGUCAAGAAGGACUGCGGGGGCGGAGAAGUCGACGUAAGACAGCGUGCCACGUGGUUUAUUCCUCCGGGUCCUCUCGAAAGGACGACCGGGGGGGGCUGCUCAGAGAAAAAGAACACGACAUUGACGGACAAAGUGCCGUCCCCGGGGUAAGUGGUGGGUACCACGUUCCUCUAGUGCGCGGGAUCCCGCGUUUGUGGCACUUUGCAAUUGCUCCCUCCAAUAUAUAUAUUUUUUUUUGGACUUCACUAACACGACAGUAUUAACUUGUUCAAAAAGAAAACAAACACGACAUUAUUAAAUUAUUAUUAAAGUAGAACAUAUUAUGAGUCAUAAAUUUCUUUAAGGAGUGGACGCAACAGUUUCCAAUUAUUUAUUUUUCAUUUUGUUGUGGGCCAAAAUAGGUUAUCAUUCUCAUGAUAAAUUAAAGACAAUUAUAUAAGUAUUUCUCUUUUUUCUAUUUUAUUUUGUUGAUGCGUCACAUGGAAGCAUUGUUAAAUAAGCAAACAUAGAAUGUAAUAUUAUUCCAUACAUCCCAUCCAACUCAAAAGAGAUGAGAAAUCCUAUUUAUAGGCUAUUAGGGAUGUUAUAUAAAGUAGCGACAUACAAAUUACAAAAGGGAAAUAUACAAAAUCUCCUUUAUAUAUCUAACUUAAACUAAACCCAGUGUGAUUUUGAGAAGGUCAAACUCGAAUGUACAUAAAAGAUAUAGAAAAUGUCCAAGUGGAUUUGGCUUGAUAAAAAUAUCAACAGUCGGGUUCAACAAGUGAAGUGAUAUAAGUCGAACAAUACCAAGAGAAACAAAACAUUGGAUGAGAUAAUGGUCUAUUUUAAUGUGUUGGGUGCAUUCAUGGUAAACAUCAUAUUUCGACCCUCGAGAUGAAUGAUUGCUCCUCUAUGAUGACGCUCUCACAUGUCUUCUAGUAAUAAUAACAACCAUACUAAUUAUGAUGUAGUAUCAGCAUGAGCUCAAUAUUUUGCUUUUGCACUAAAUCGAGCAAUAAUGGUUUGUUUCUUGCUACGCCAUGUGAUAAGUGAUAUGCCUAAAAAAUAAAAAGAGUAGCUUGUAGUAGAGCGAUGGUAUGGAGAAUUGUCAAUCUGGUCAGUAUUAGAAUAAGUUGUUAACUGCAAGGUAGAACGAGUAAAAAAGUGAUAGUCAUGAAAUAACGUGCUCUUGAUGUGAAGAAUUUGUAGGACUACAGCAAAAUUAGUUGUGCAGGGGUGCGGUCAUACAUUGACUAAUAAUAUGAACAGUAUGGGCAAUAUUGGAUCGAGUAAUAGUGAUAUAUAAAAAUUGUCAAUGAAUUGUUGAUAUAGUGCAAGAUUCGAAAGGCGAGUCCUAUAUUUGGCAUAAAAUGUGGCAUUGGUCUCGAUAGAAUUUACAGUAGCCUUGUUUUUAGUGAGUUCGACUUGAUAAAUAAGAUUAGUUACAUAUCUUGCUUUUGGAAGAUAAAAACAAGAAGAACUUGAAUUAGUCUCCAAGCCUAAAAAGUAGCUGAAUUGCAUAAGAUCAUUCAUUUCAAACUGUUGACUAAGAUAUUGUUUGAGUUUUGAAAUGUCGAUAUGAACAUUGCUCGUAAUAACCAUGUCAUCUACAUAUAAGAGCAUCAUAACAUACCCAACAAAUGUUUGCUAGACAAAAAGAGCAUGGUCAUAGAGAUUGGAUUCGAAGUUAAGAAAUUUCAUGAUUGAGCUAAGCUUGAAAUACCGUGCACAAGAAGCUUGUUUUAGGUCAUAUAAUGCUAGAUGUAAUCGACGCACUUUAUUGGAAUGAUGAGCAUGUCCAAGAGGAGGCCCCAUAUAAACUUCUUCGACCAGAUCGCCAUUUUGGAAUUCAUUUUUAACAUUCACCUAGAACAAGACUAAAGCUUAGUCAUGACAACAAAAAGAAAAAAGCUAACAAAAGUAAGGCGUGCAAUAUGAGCAAAAGCCUCCUUAUAGUCAACUUCGUAUUUCCAAGUAAAACCAUUCACCACUUGCCAAGCUUUGUGAUAGUCCAUAUUACUAUUUGCCUUUGUUUUAAUCUUAUUCUAGUUUACAACCUACAAUGGAAUUAGGAGGCAAAUCAACCGAGUCCCAUGUAUGAGAUAUGCCUAUGGCCUCCAACUCAUAUGCUAUUGUUUGCUGCUAAAGAAAAUCAAUAUUAACCUCUCUACGUGUGCAAUUUUUAUUAGAAAGAGAAGCAACGACAGAUGGAAGUACACGUGAACCUCGACUUCGAGGUAGAUGGUUUUGUUAGGCAGGUUGCUUAGGUCAUAGUCGAUAGCAAUGGGAUGCUGCCACUUCGGCAAAAAUGCUUACAAAUUUCUUAGUAAUGAGUCUGAAAGCACCAAGGACCACCCAAAAACAUGUUAAACGGUUUGAAAAUAUCCAUGGAAUUUGGACAAAAACAACAAAAGAAAGAAAUGAGAAUCUGAUGCGAUAAAGAUAGAAGAAAUCUACCGGGACCCAAAGAAGAAAAUUCGGUUAGAGAUUUAACACGGGUUUAACGGGGUCAAGGAGUCGAACCCAAUUCCGAGAUUUAACACGGGUUUAACGUGGGCAAGGAGUCGAACCCAAUUCCUAAGGCUCGAAAACUAUUACUGCAACAUUGCACCUGUAUUUUCCCCGUACCUAGACACUUUGAUUUCGUGUCCAUGUGGACCGGCAAAUAGAUGCGUCACCUUCACGCUCACGUCCAUGCAGUUUCGGUUCCAUUUCAAAUAAUUUUCCUUUUCGGCGACAAACGAAAAGAAACAACUCGAGUAUUGGCUUUGACAUAUUCAAACAAUCAAUAGCACACGCGCCAGCUCCAUCUGCGGCCAUGGAGGUCGUGACCUCAGCCAAUUCGCUCCCACGGAGGUCAUGGCCUCCAUGGUCGACCUCGAUCAAGUUUGAGGGAGAAGGAGAGAGAUGUGCAGCGACGAGCACAGAUCGUGCCUCGGGUUCUGCGACGUCGAGCGGGAGUGGCGGCAGAGCCAUGGUGGUGGGACUGUGCAGCAAAGAGGGAGAUCCCAAUAAAGAAAACACAAAUCCCUUGGAAUCCCCCAUUCCGACGUGCACGAGCCACCUUUCGUUAGAUCAGAUUCAAAGAAGUGAACUCAUUUCAGAUUCAAGGAGGGGAGAGAACAACGAAGGGGAGCAACAAGGGUUAGAAUAACAGAAGUGGCAGUAAUAAUGAUCAUUAUAUAUUUUAGAACACUUUGCUCGAGCAAACGCGUGGGAGGCAGUAUGUGCACGACCGCACGUGAUCCCUCGUCAAACCCCAAAAAAUAUAUCGUCUCGGAAGUAGAGAAGAAGCAUUAAAUAUAACGUUUGUCGCCCCACCCACCCAGAAGCAUCUCCAAUCAAUUAUUUUAUCAUGGUUGCGUUUUGUACUUUGUACAUGGGCUCGCGUUAUGGCGGUCCUGAAACAUGCUCUGGGCUUGGCCUUGUCAUCAUUCAUGUUGAUCGUCUCUGUCAAAAUGGCUUCUUUGCAAUCACAAGAAAUCAAUUUCAUCCCCCACGAGUACCGGGUCGAUGGAUAGCUUGAUUUUUUCUUCUUCCUUACUCUUUCAUUUCGCUGCCCGUCACUUUUGCUGAAUUCAAGUGCAUCUGCCAUUUCGGUUAUGGCUCAAAUGAAAGCUGAUGCGUCUGUGUCAGUUUUCUCCCGGAUGGGCUCUCUCUCUUCCGGAUCUUCUUACAACAUCCCAUCUUAGGAGAGCAUAAACUACGAAAACGUCUUUGUGUUUGGGUGUUUGCUUUCCCAUCCAGCUGUUUUCGGGGUUAGGCAAGAGAAAUCAACUCUCGCUUAUCUUUGCUGCAUGGACAGGACCGCCGCGAUGUGAUGACAACUUCGGGGAUGAUCUUUUCUUAGAAAUCUCAUUUGAUUCAGAACAUCUCUAGACGGGAAAGGUGCCAAAAAAGUCCUAAACCUUUUGGCUUUGUGCCGAUUUAGUCCUAAACAUUUUUUUGGUGCCGAUUCAGUUCUAAACAUUUUUAAGUUGUGUAAAUUCAGUCAUUUCCGGCCAAUUUUGGCCGAAUUUUGCUAACUGGAUGCUGGCUGGCUUACGUGGUCUGAUCGGUACUGACGUAGAUAACUUUUAAUAAUAUUUUAAUAAUAUUUUAAUAUUAUUUUAAAUAUUUUAAAUAUUUUAAAUAUUUUAUUUUUGUCUUUUUCUUCCAGCCGGUUGUCGAGGUCCGAUGACCGGCUAGAGGCGACCGCCGGCGAGGGCGAGCCUCGCCCAUGGCCGCCUCGCUAGAUCAGGCCAUGGGCGAGCCUUGCCCUCGCCGGCCAUGGGCGAGCCUCGCUCGACCUCGCCAGAUCCAGUGAGGUUGGCCUCGCCCUCGCCGGCGGUCGCCUCUGGCCGGUCGCCGGACCUCGGCGACCGGCUAGAGGAAAAAGACAAAAAUAAAAUAUAAAAAAAUAUAAAAAUAUUAUAAAAAAUUGUCCACGUUAGUGCCGAUCAUGCCACGUCAGCCGGCCGGCAUCUAGUCAGCAAAAUCCGGCCAAAAUUGGCCAGAAAAGACUGAAUUGGCACAACUUAAAAAGGUUUACGACUGAAUCGGCACAAAAAAAAUGUUUAGGACUAAAUUGGCACAAAGCGGUUUAUGACUUUUUUGGCACUUUUCCCUCUCUAGACUUACAAGAUCUCUAUAUCCUUCCCAUCGUUAGUAUGAUCGUAUAACCAGCUCCUCCAUGCCCUAGUUUUGGGUAGCGGCAGGAGACAAAUAACAAGGGAUAUAAUCUUCAGCGAAGGUGCUUUGUGCCAUACUUCAGAUCCAACGGCUCAUUGGAUUAAUCUAGCUGGAAUAAUUAGAAUCCAGCGAUAUAUAAGGAAAUGAAAUAAAACCCGGGAAAUAAUCUCAACAAAAAGCCCACGUGAAAUAAACUUAUCACAAGGAUGCUGAUAUACAAAGGUAACUCAUUGGUUAAUAAAGACAAAAGAGACAAUGAGUCAGGAUGACAAAAGAGACAAUGAGUUAGGCUGUGUUUUUUGUGGACCGGACAUAACUCCAGAUACGAUGGCUUUUUAUCCUAUUUGUUGUUCGGGAUAAUGCAAGUUCCAGAUAUGUUUGGCUAUAAUUUGAAUAAUUAAAAGAAAAAAUCUAUAGGACAUGAUACACUCAGAUAAGAUAUUUGCCAUCUGGUAAAAAUAAGAAAAAAGUGGAAAAAAGAUUGUUAGCCAUGGUAACACGAAGAUGGAAGGGAAAGGAUUUAGGGAGAGAGAAGGGGCCGCGAGCUUCAGUCUUAGAUCAGCGAGGGAGCUCCAUCAUAGUGUGGCCCAGUCGUUGCCGUAGGCUAGCAUGAGCUGCCGCACCUUCGUCGGCCAUUCCCAUCCCAUCAUUGUCAUCCCCAUCGGAUCGACGUGGUUUGAUGCUCUAGACCUCGGAUUUGAGGCUCGCGACCUAAGGUUCAAGGUAACCAGCCUAAGGGGACCCUAGAUCAGGAGUAGCUUGAGGUCGGGCCUUGACUCAGUGUCGGUCUAUGGGGUAGGGGUGGCGAUUGUAUCUUUAGCAAGCCGUGGAUGGUCGAUGACGUCCAUUGCAACAUGAUGCUGCUUGAGAAUUAGAUACCGUUCUAUGACUUCAAAGGGCUAUUCGAGAUGGCGUCCAGAUCAUCCAUCGCUCGAGCUUGCAUACAUGUUGUUUGGGCUAGUGAUGAAGAUAAAGGAGGUGCUGGAAUCGGCAAUUGAGUUAGAGGCAAAGCACUUUCUCAAUGUGAUCGAUUGAGCCGGAAAUGAAGCACUUCCAUUUUUCUAAUUUUCGGUAAGUAAAAUCAAUUACUUUUAAAAAAAUUUAUUUUAGGAUUUCGUCUUAUAGCGUACCAAUUACCUAAUAGAAUUGGACCCCAUUUAUUCUCUAGAGGAUUUCUUUAUCUUAUCUUAUUCUAUUACAUCUCAAUUCUUGUCCUAACCAUCGGACGUAGACUCGAGUUGCACGAAAAGCAGUGAAAGGCGAACAUACAAGAAAUACAAUCCACGAUCUUGUUCCCCCACGUCUUUCGCUUUCCCUGCCGAGGGGCACAAUUUAAAGUCGCUGCUUAUCGAUUGCUCAGCGAACAUCGCCCCGAGACUCAUGCCGGGUGUUGUUGACUUCAGGGCGCAGCCUACAUGCACUUGCGAGAUUGUCUUUCACAUCAAAUAUCGGAUAGAACAGUGAAUUCCAGGACAGGAGUGGGGUCGAUGGUGACGCCAAGGAAUCUCAACCGCGUCGCGCAUGCGCUUUCUUCAACAUCCGAUCGCACCCCCCUCCUUCUGCCUUACUCUCCAGCUAUAGGGCUAAUGAUUACUGGGGUUAAAUUAAUCAAUCAUUACACAAUCCAGUUAUCGCCAAAGCACCUCAUUGUUCUGACGAAUUCUCCAUCCAUGGGGCAAAAUAAUUAGUGUUUGGGAAUCUUACGGAGUGGCUUGUGGUUUCGAUGUCGGUAAAUCCAUUUUACACAUUUCGCCUAUUUCGUCGACAGUCCCUACAUAUUUGUCUUCCAAAAGAAUGAUUCGCAUUAGGUCGCUUAGAUAAAUCGCGAAGUAUGGUAAAACCCCACUAAACUCAUUAACCAAGCAAUGUUAACUAAAACCCCAAAGAGUUUUGCCUAGACCUUGAGGUCAUUCGUGCUGAGGUAUCAAACAUGCACGUCUCAAGCCUUGUUCUGCCGGUAAUUUUAAGGUUCCAUUUAAAAAAAAAUUUAUUUAUGGAAAUAAAUGAUUUGGAAAACAUUUUAUUAAGAAUGAUCGCUUGUAUCACUUGAAUGAAUUAGUCAAUGAAAUAUGUUUCCAUUAUCGAUAAUAAUCUAUGUCUAAAAUUUUUCAUGUACAAUGAAAAUGUUUUUCGCUUAUUCAUUUUUUGCAAGCAAUGCGAUCAAUCAUUUCUAAAAAAAUGAUUCUGAAAUCAUUCUUUUUUUUUUUUUGCAAAACAAACAUACCCUAAGUGCUCCAAGAGGACAAUUUCACUUGUAUCCACACAACAAGUGAGGGGCAUAACAUUAGCCAUCCCUCAAUGACUUGUGCUUUGUGAUCCUUUGGGGGGGACAAACCAACUUAGUGCCUUGAAAGUGACAUCCCUAAAUUAACUCACCGAGGUAUUGUUCGCUUUAGCUCAUUCUAUACUAAAUCUCAUGGUUUUUUUCUUUGGCAUAUAAGGGAGUACCUUCUCAAGAGGUCACUCAUCUAGUAGUGCUUUCAUCUAAGCAUGCUUAAUUUUGGAUUUACAAAGCUAAGCAUUGUUGUUAUGUCAAAAGGCAUCUACAUGAAUUAAUUUCAAUUUUCAUAUAUGUAUCAUAGAAUCACUCUCCCCCUAUUUAGUGCAUAGUUUGGUUCAUUCCUGCCCCUUUCACCAUUUUAGAAGCUUGUAGCUUUAGUGACCACUCUUCGCUCUCAUCAGAUUGGAUUGUUAUAGAAAGGCCUCGGAAGCUUCUCCGUAUUUGCACAAACCUAUGACUCCAAUGACCUUGACUAUUGUCCAUUGAGCCUUGUAGUUUCAUGGUAGUGUGUCAUGUAUGACGACCAGUGAUGACUGAAUUGUCACGUUAUCCAUUCCUGAUGAAAAUUUACUAGAAUGACUAUAUUAGAAUUUUGCACAAAGGUUUAUGAUUAAAUUGGUAGAAUAGACAAGUUUAGAACUAAAUUAGCAUUUGUACAACAAGGUUAGGACUGAUUGAGUAAUUUUCCUGUCCUUUGUGAGUCAAAGCUAAAAGCCAAGGUUCAUCAGUGGUGGUCUCGAAAAGAAUACGGUUUCCACAUGGUAGCACUUCUUUUGUUCAAUUAAUAACUACGAUUGUAAACGUUUUAUCUUACAUAAAAAAAGAGAAUGAAGAGAGUUCAUAGCUUCUUCUUGUUAGACAUAAUAAUUGUGAAGAAUGAGUUCGGACUUUGAGACGUAAAUAAACUGUCUUUAACAAUAUUGUUUGCCCUAUAAGGUUGUGAAUGAUUAUUGAUAAAUAUCUUCCAAGGUACAAUAAGCCUCAAUAUGGGAAUACUAGAAAACAAUUUUGGCAUUUCUUCAAGGACUCUUGAAAGGAAAUAAUUGGAGAACAAGGGAUGUAUUUUUAAGACAGAGAAAAUUGAUUAAUGAAAAUUGUUGAUCUAGAAACGUUGAAUUUAUAUUAGGGAAAAAUUAUAUUUCAACUGAUACAACCUUUUUUUGAAAUGUUGCAUCAUUUUGAAAGUAUAUUGUGAGCAAACAUACUAUUUUAAAAGGACAAAACCUUUUAUGUUCUAAAAAGAACUAUAAAUUCGAAUUUGAAAAAAAUUAAUUGUCAAUUAGUUUAAAAAAUAUAUAUAAAUUCGCAUUAAAAUUGCGCAAUUAUUCGCACUAGUACAUGGGUACUGUAGGGUCUAGUCCACAUAUAUCAAUCAUAUGGCUAGAAGCCUUCCACUUAUAAAUUGGUUCAAAUACUCAUAUCUCUUCGUCGUGGGACAAUGCACUUCUUUGUUUAGUUUACAAACAAACUAUUAGCACUUUUAGGGUGCGUUUGGUAACGUUUUUGUUAAAAAAUUGUUCCGGGGAACAGAAAUAAAAAAAACUAUUUCUAUUCCGGUAAACAAUUUUUUAACAGAAGAACGUGUUUGGUAAUUGCACAAAAUUUAUGUUUCUAAAAUAGAAAAAGAACAGAAACACGUUUGGUAAACUUGUAUAAUUUUUUUUUAAUUUCUUUUAAUUUUUUAAUAUAUAUUUUUUUUAAUUUUUUAAUUUUUUCUUCCUUUUGGCCAGUGGCCUUGUCCAGCCACGGCGAGGCCGAACCUCGCCGGGGGCUGGCGACGCUCCAACGAGGUCGCCGGCCCUCGACGACCAGUCGCUGGCCAUGGCCAAGGCCGGUGACCGGCCAAAGAAAAAAUAAGAAGAAAAGAAAAAGAAGGAAAAAAUAGGAGAGAGAAAAUUCGUUUCUCAAAAGUGUUCCGGGAACAAGAAACAAGUUUUUCUUGUUUCUUGUUUCUGUUUCAAAUUUGUUCCCUGGAAUAGAAACAAUUCUUGGGAAUAAAAACGUAAAAAAAUGCGUUUCUGUUCUUUUUUUGUUCCCUGGAACAAAAAAACAGAAAUUGUGUUCAUGACAAGAAAAAAAGAACACAAACAAACGCACCCUUAGUGACACACAAACCUUAAAUGUAUGUUGGGAUGGCAUGGCCUUUUGCUUUCUACACUUAGUGUCAUUUAAUAUAUCAAAUGCAAUAACAAAUAUGUUGUUAAGUAAGGAUUCAAUCGUAUCAUGUAGCAAAAAGAGAUUAUUAUACACAUGCACGUAUAUACAUACACCGGGACAUGUAUACGUCGGGCGCUCUUAUAAGCGUGACGUGGGAUCGGCUGUCGUUGCAGCAUUAUUAUCUGCCUAAAUUCAACUUCUAACUCUUGUAAAAUUAUGGAGUACCAUCAUUAUCCGUUUCGCAUAAUUGUUAAUCCCACGUGCAUGAAAGUGCUUUCAUAUAUAGCUUCAUGCCUUUCAGGCAUUGCACGCACCAAAAAAUGACCGACCUUUGUUUUAUCGAUGAAGUGAUAAACUCAAGCAACGUGGCCGUGUGGUCAAAACAAUUGAAAACUCGAAAGGAAUCAACAACUCUCCGAUGAAAUUAUUCACGCCGAAACAUCAUUUAUCGAUGAGAAAGACUGAUUACCUAAGAGAAACUCCAACAACCUUCUUUCCCUUCUUUUGCAUCGCGCGAAUGCUAUGAGCACUACAAUAAAGUGAUAAAUGAAAAUUCGACAAAAAUAAUCAUCAGUCGCUCCUUAAAAAAACCAUUAACAUAAUCUAAAGCAGAUUAGUAUACUGAAACCUUAGCUAUAUCAAGGAGAUGACUCCAGGUGCAUAAAGAGUACUCAAAUAUUGCAACUAUAUAGCUUUAGCCUUAACCCUCGAACAUACUUUGAACUAGAAGCUGGAGAUUAAUUAAAGAUGCCGCUAGUUUCACGCCAUUUUUAUAUUGACUGAUCAAGUCGGCACUCAAGUUUGUUGAGCAUGUAUUAAUAUUCAAUAACACCUUUUUUUAGGCAAAUCAAUGAUCAAUGAGUUGUUAUUUUCCUCCAAAAUAGUAAAAGCGAAAUUCAAGAUUCCAAUUCGUUUGUUCCUUCUAAUCUUCCACCAUAAAUAUAAUGAAAAGGAAAUGAAAAAUCAAGAAUAAUUUUGUUUUCCAUUCAACCAUAUUAUUUUCUUAAAAUAUAGCUUGCGAACCAUACCUUCGAAACUUUUUUAUGAAUAGGUAUAAGUUUGAGCAAGAAGAAGAUGUAACUAGAUUUUGGACUUCCAUUAAAGUCAUUUGAAGAGAUAAGUAUACUAUAAUUCCUAAAAUUUGUCACAAAAGUGCAAUUAAAUAUUAAAGCUUUCAAAAAGUGCAAUAAAGUUCUUCUAAUUAUAUUGUUAAUUUAUUUUACAAAAAAUGCCGAUGUGAUAAUUUUUUAUUAUUAUUUUCUUUGUCAAAUCUUAUUUGAAAACAAAAUUGAAAAAAAAAAGAAGAAGGGCAAAGCAUCGUUGGUGGGGUGUUGUCACUAUUGUCGCCACUGUCAUCGCUACUACCAUUGCUGCCACUGCUGCCACCGCCGCCCCCCAUCGCCAAAGGGGUUGGCGGAGGUCGCAACCCUAGAUGAGGCCUUGGUAGCCCUAGGCUAGAGAAUGAACAAUUUUUUAACUACUUAAAUGAACAACAUUAUUUUUUAACAAAUUAAUGAAAUUGUUUUUCAACUGCAAACAUGGUUUUGCCUAGAAUAAAGACAUCUUUUAUUUUUACUUAUUCAAAUGGACAUCGUAGAUAAGUUGAUUAAUUGUUUUUUGCAAAUUUAGCACAAAUAUGGUAUGUGAAGAAAAGAGACGAUGAGAGUAAUUUUAUGGAUUCGAAAGGGGUAAUGUUAAUUAUUAAAUAUUGAACCAAAUCUUGCUAUGGAUUCGUAAUCUCACUUAGCAUAGAAAAGGGUUUGUUUUAGCAAAAGUAGAAAUAGUGUCACUUAGAAAGUAAAUAUUAUAUAUUCAACGCGUUUACUGUUUUUAUAAAGCGGCUAAUCAAUUGUUUUGGAAAUUACCUAAUAUGAUGAAUGGGCAUACACUAUUAAUUUAACUAUGCCCUGGGCAUGAAAAAGGAGGAAAACAUGGCAAGAAGACGGUGGAAAGUAAAGGUUUUUUUAAGACAUAAUGGAAAACAUCUUUGGAGAGAGAAUGAUUGGAUUGAAAAUCCCUCGCAUCCAUAUCUCUCCAAGGUAAUGAUGAAAUCAUGAAAUAUUGAGAUUCCUUCUCCAAACUAUAUGAACGUGUCCCCUCCUUGAUUAUUUAUUUAUUUUAUUUUCUGGUAGUUUUUAGACCAACUUUUCAGAACUUAAUUUGAUAGAAAUGAGGUUGUGCGACCGAGUGUUCACUUUCAUUGUGGAAUAUAUUUCACAUCAAUGGCCACCUAAGUAGAUAAGGAUAUGAUGUCAUAUCAAAUCAAUCAUAUUAUAAUUUACCUGGACCAUGCACAAACCAUAUGGACUAGACCUUGCUUAUAGCAAAGUGACGCAAUAUGUAUGGAUCACAAGUAAUUCCCAAAUUAUUGUCACAGCGGGCAAUUAACUGAAAAUGACAUACCUUAUUUUUCAGAAAAAGACAAGUUAGAAUAUUUUAGACUGGAAUUUUCCUAGUUUGGUCCCGAUCUUUUUCCAGGAAUUAUCUCCAGUGGAAGCAAGUUGUCAGCAAUAUAUGAUGGUACUUGAUGCAUACUUGUAUAUGGAAAUGUGAUGUGACAAAUCCUCUACAAUCCACUAUCCAUUUCAUUUUUGGGAAAUUGAAAUGAAAUGGAUAGCGCAUGUUUUCUAGCUUGUUUUCCUCAAACCAGUUCACGUCUAAGGCCAUUCAUGGAAUAUGUGAAUGAGAUGAACAGUCUUCUAACUAAGCAUAAACAUGAUUGAAUACAACAAUACAUCUAAUUAUGUCACGAAAUAUAUAUACACACAUAUUCAGAAUGUAUAUAAGUAGAAGUAUAUGGACACGUUAACUAUGUUAUAGACCAUGGGAACUUCUGCUUAAUUUGUUCAAUUCCCUUGUUUUCCAAUGCGCAUGCAUUGUCAGCUCUGCCUCGGGUUUUCAGCAAAUCUAACUUUUUGCGAAUGCGCAUCAUUGUGCUUGCACUAGACACUUCUAGAAGACAAAAGCAAUCAUGCUCUCGUAGCCAUUGAGCAUGCUUCUUCUAGACGACCGGGGUGAAAUUUCUUCCCCAGGGUCGCACAUACGUGCUUGUAAAUACUAUAAACAAAUUGUUCGCUCGCCACCUAUACCGGGACGAGUUCGAACCUAUGUGUAAAGAAGAUGCCAAGGCCAGAAAGCAAAGGAAAAGAAGGAAAAGUAAGUGGAUAAGAUAAGCCUCGUGACUCAUCAUGCCAAUUUUGACUUCAUUGGAACUUGCCUCCACUCCUUGGGCUGUACCUCCCUCCCACCAUAUAAACCCUCUCCCUCUCCCUCUCUCUCAAGUCGUUGUUUUCACAAUAUGCUGGUGUCGAGAGGAGGGGCCCAAUCUCUGCCAACUUAUCUGAAACUUUCUGAAAUUUGCGUCCCUCGCAUGACCUUAUCUUAUAAUAUGCAUCGAUGCCAAGGGAAAAAAGAGAAACCCUAGAGCUCUAUUAGCGUGCAUGGUUGUAUUUCUUCCCCCAACUGAAACGACGAAUUGGAUUGGUGCUGUUUCUGAUGCCCCACUUUGUCUGGUGUGCUUCUCGCAUGCAUCACUUUCUCUGGUCCUGGAUAUGUCCCAUCCGGGUUGUUCUCUCUCUGUUUACUUACACGGUCCCUCUCUUAUUAGCAGCACCUCGAACAUGUGUUUGUAUCAACGCCAUAGCCAUUCUCCGAGCUUGGUCAAGUAUUCAAAAUAACCAAUUGGUCAUGCGUUUGCUUAACAUGGUACUCAAGCGAAAAAAUCCAACUUUCGGACAUCAAAACAUCGUUUAGGAGAGCUUUCUGGCAUGCGUUGUAAUCAAGUCGUACUUUUUGACAAGAGCUUUUCCAGAUGAGUUUCUCCUAGUGGCGACGCCAGAAAAUACAGUGCGAGACAACGCAGAGAGGCAAAGAGUGGCGAUGGAGAGAGAGACUUUUUUUUGAGGGGGGGGGGGGGGGGGGGAGAAGAUGGGAAGAUGUUACACGUUUAGCGAGGAUGGUCAAUUGUCCAGCCAAUGAGCUAACUUGGAUGCGGCAAAUAGAGAAAGAUGGACCAGUGGGAAGUCUGCAAAUAAGAUGCAGUGCGCAAGUAUAUUUCCUCCUUUUCCUUUCGGGGAUUUGAAGGCUACUUCCAUUCUGCAUCCGAUACCCACCCCGACCCUACUACCCCUCCCAUCUGCAACAUAUACUUCUCGUGCUGUACGACUUUCUUGGUAUUAUAUGCUCCUUUAUAUUUCUAGUGCGAAUUGAUGGAAAUACGAAAUUACUGUUCUAGAUGCGAUCCGCAAUUCAUCGCAUCUGACAAAAGGGGCUGCUCUUGGAUAAGAUAGUGUCUAGCAUAAGUUCUUAAACUUGUGUCAACGACUUAUGGAUACAUGCAUAGUGUGGCUUUCGUUUCCAGUACAGCCAACCUUUCUCUUGUGGCCAUCUAUUCACCAACUUAUAAGUGGUGAAUCGCUCCAAAUGUUAGAUCGUUGCAGGCAAGGUUUUUCGUUGCAUUUUAAGGGUGAGAGGAGAGACCACGGAUGAAGAGAAACCUAAUUGAGGUAUUGCCCUGACCCUCCGGGUCUAAUGAUGAGUCUUUACAUUUUGCUCUUUGUGAGCUUGCGUUGCAAACAAUUUUAGUCAAGUAUGGGAAUUUGGUAAAUACUAGUUCGCAAACCUAAUUGCAAACCUAAUUGGCCUGCGCACAAUAAUAUUAAACAAUAAUAAAUUCUCAUUAAAAUCGGGUAAUCGACCAAUUAUUCUUCUUCAAAAAGUCUUUUAGAACUUAGUUUCAAGGUCGGAAGCAGCAUAAGGACAAGCCAUUCUACUCCGAAACAUGUUUCAGUGGGCCGUUUUAGGGUAGAAUCCUCAUUAUAAUAGCUGGAAGAGCAAACCGACUGGUAUUGAAAUCGAGACCCAAAACCGAAAUAUCCAAGCCAAUUUCGGACUUCUACCUAAGCAGUGUUCCCUUUGAAUGGCAAAUAGUCAUCCAACAGAUCUUGCCAACGACGUGCCAAAAAGGAACAACAUUUGCAGCAUCUAGAAUUGCUUGGCAUUAAAGAAAAGACCCAUGAAACGAAAGGAAAGCCAAUCCUAACCCUAUGUUUACGUGCAUGUUUUUGAAUGGUGGGUAGUGUUCCCUGGAGCCCCCUUUUUCCUCGAAAGAAAACGUCGCACAUUUGUUCGCUCCAUUAGCUUGCGUGAUCAACAUGGAACAACAGUGCAUUCCAAAGAUUUAAUCAUGUCCGCCCGCCAAAAAAGUUGCCCAUGUCGUAAUCCUUUGUUAAUGGAGAUAAUGCCUGCCUUCAAUUAUAAACUAAUCAGAGAGAUCCGAAAAAGCGCCCUGAAAAUGCCGAUCCUAGUCACGAGCUUAGUUAAUGUCGAAAGCAAAAGGGAAAUCAUAUUGGAUGCUUUGCUUUUGCUUGAGAUUAUAUGCGUUCGUCCCAUUAUUAUCCCACUUUUGUGUCUUUUAAAUUUCACGCUCGUACUUGUUAGCCAAGACAGUGGAAGCUUAACGAGUGCUUUUGCUUUCUUGGGACUUUCCCUCGAAGUCCCGAAGAUAUAGAAGGCAAAAGAGCAAAUUCGGGACAAGAUCCGUACAGGCGCAUUCGCAUCACUAUCAUUAAGAAGCAAAAGGCUGCUACAUGGGCUCAUUUCGGAAUGACUCGAUCUCCCGUUUCCAUCCGUGUAUACGGUGCGCAGGAAGGGAUCGACAGUGUCAGUGUAGAUAGAUACCCUGGCUCUGGACCAAGGCGGAGCGGUGGCGUGACAUGAUAGGGCCGAGACGUCGAAGGCAGUCGCCCAUUGGAUGAUGGAAGUGGCGAGUACGGUCGCGUUCGAGUGCACGAGAAUAGCGUCACGUGUUUCGACGACAGCAAUACCUCGUGGCGCAGGACGUGUAAAAAGCCCUAGGAAUUCACACGUCCACACAAGGUUUCCACGCCAACCCCACCACCCCAAUUGACAAGCACAAGUCAAGCCGGAGCGGGGUUAAGCCCAGGGAUCAAGAUUGGAAUCAGAAAUUUCGCCCGUCGAGCGCCCCUCGAAACGGGACACCUGUCGCGACAGCAUUUACCGGCAGCACCGAAAGGGAAACGGGGAGAGAGAAAAUUUUAGAAAAUACGAGAAGGAAAAACCGCCGCUCCCACCAGCAGGAGCGAGAGAGACAGGCGCAUUUACAUACGUCGAGCAAUAUAAAUACCACCUAACAAAACCCGCACAGAGCCAGACAAUGCCUAACUACGCACGCCAAGAAAAUCUCAAAGCACUCCCCCAUUCUUUAUUUUCUCAGCUACUUUAAUAAGAGGGGAAAGAAGGGUAUUAAAGAGGGGGGCUGUGGAAAUUUCGAAAGCCCCUUUUCUUUUUUCUUGUUUUGUCCGUUUUCGGCCGUUCGUCAUGGGCAACAUCCUCUUGGAGGCGCUGAACGUGCGCGUGGUCGGCUCCGGCGAGCGGUUCCUGGUGCUGGCCCACGGGUUCGGCACCGACCAGUCGGCGUGGCAGCGCAUCCUCCCCUUCUUCACCCCGCACUACCGCGUCAUCCUCUACGACCUCGUGUGCGCCGGCAGCGUCAACCCGGACUACUUCGACUUCCGCCGCUACACCUCCCUCGACGCCUACGUCGACGACCUCCUCAACAUCCUCGACGCCCUCUCCGUCGACCGCUGCGCCUACGUCGGUCACUCCUUCUCCGCCAUGAUCGGCAUCCUCGCCUCCAUCCGCCGCCCCGAGCUCUUCACCAAACUCAUCCUAAUCGGGGCUUCCCCGAGGUAAGGCACCAGGACCAUCCUCUCGAAUGUCUUUUUGUCCUUUUCGCGUCGUCCGAACUUUUCGGACCUGAUAGCGUGUUUCCGGAUUCCGGUAGGUUCUUGAAUGACAAGGACUACCACGGAGGGUUCGAGCUAGGGGAGAUCGAGAAGGUGUUCUCGGCGAUGGAGGCGAACUACGAGGCGUGGGUGAACGGCUUCGCGCCGCUGGCGGUCGGGGCGGACGUGCCGGCGGCGGUGCAGGAGUUCAGCCGCACGCUCUUCAACAUGAGGCCCGACAUCUCGCUGUUCGUGUCGCGCACCGUGUUCAACAGCGACCUGCGCGGGGUGCUGGGCCUCGUCCGCGUCCCCUGCUGCAUCGUCCAGACCGCGAAGGACGUCUCAGUGCCGGCGUCCGUGGCGGCUUACCUCAAGAACCACCUCGGCGGGCGGAACACGGUGGAGAUGCUCAACAUCGAGGGCCACCUGCCGCACCUCUCCGCGCCGGGGCUGCUGGCGCAGGUCCUCCGGCGCGCCCUCCGGUGACCCGACGACGACGACGACGACCCCCUCCCCAUUAUUAACCUUUUCUUUCCCUUUUGUUUUUUCCCUUGACUUAUUAAAUGCCAUUUUCGUGGGGCCUACGGAGAAGUUAUAUAUAUAAAAAGAAAAAAAAUAAGGGAGGGUGUGAGACACCGACACCUGGCGAAUAACUUGUGGACGCUGAUCUUAGCGAAAGGAUAAGUCUACGCACGUGGCCAUCACGUGAUGAGGCGACCCUUUUUUGUUCCCUUCUCUCGCCCUUUUCCCUUUUUUUCCGCCCUUUUCCUUUUCUAUUAUAAAGUAUUAUAUCACUUAGAAGCUCCCUCUAAUUUUUCUUCUUCUUCUUCUUUUCUUUUUUCGAGAAAAGAAAAGAAAAUCUUAUUUUGGAAAUGAGAUUUUUUUUGCUCUGGAGGGGUUACGAGCUCCUAAAUAAAUAUAAUUUUUCAUAUUCUCUCUCUCUCUUGUUCUAAGUUCCUUUUUUGGACCUAUUAUAAAGUUUAGUUUGGAGAUAUAGAAUCCGCGUGUUAUUUUUGUCUUCACUGUCGAGAUACAAAACAAGGGUUGAGCCCACCAAGUUGACGGGCUUCUUUUAGCGCUAGGAGAUUCUCUCGGGCCCGAGAUAUUUCUAGCCGUCCAUUUAAUUUCACCCAUAAUUCAUUGCGUUUAAAAGAAAAAUCGGACUUCUAAAUAAUUAAUAGGAAAAAAAAUUUGGAUGUCAUUAACCGCGGAGGCCGUGACGUCGGCAAACAUUUUCUAACCCAUCUACGUAUUCUCCAAAUCUCCAUUUUUCGUCGAAUUAAUUUGAAUUAUUUAUACGAGUAUAUGUUUGAGUAUUGGGUAGAACAUACAAUGGCAUGUAAGAGCGAUGUAGGUGCAGGUACCUAUCAUGUGGAAAGCAGCUCUUAUCUGCCAUGAAAAGACAGCUCAUGUGAUAAGAUCCCUAUACUAUUGCUGUGCUCCUUAUGUGCUCAUUCGGUGGACCAUAUGAGUAUCAUACGAAAUCUUCUACGCGAUCCCACCACUAGAUUUUAUUGGACCCUUUCUAUAACCCUAGAAACUGAAAUAUCUCUUUUUUCUUUUUUUCUUCCCUUGAUUCAUUGGGUCGAUGAUGUUUUAAGUCAACUUUUUGCUUAUCUCGACUGGUCCAUAUUCUCGGAUGAUUUCGCGGGCGCACAUCAUAGAAGUUCGAUUUAUUUCAAUUGUUUGAAUAUGCUAUAGCCGAGUGCAAUUAGGGUUCGAUUUUCUUUGGUUUUGAUUGGGGUCGGAUGAGGAUGAUGAAUAACUAGGUUUCUUUUGGUUCGAUUUAUUUCAUGUACGGGUUGUUGAAAAAUCUCUCAAUGUAUUUCUUUAAGUAAUGAUGGAGGCUUCACAACAUGAGUAGCAAAGCAAUAUUUAUAACUAAAGGAAAACCCUAAAGAUACAAACUAGGAACAAAAAACCUAGGAUUUCCCAAUAAGACUACCUAAAUUAAUAAAUUCCAAAUCACAUAAAAUGAUAUCGUUCAAAAAUCCUAAAAAUUAUAAAGAUGAGAAAGCAUAUAAAAAGAAAAAUCUCAUUCACAAGUCACAACUAUUGGCCUAUCCCGUGUCAACUCAGGUUAAGCAGUAUCCAUUUUGAAGCAAGUCUUUGAAAGGUACUUUUUAGGCAUCCAGAUAGUCGAGCAUCUGUGUUCGCCUUUGGAUAUUCGAAUAAAAAUCAAAUCAAAGUAAGCCAUUCGAAUAACCAAAGCUGUUCCAUUGCUGUUCCAUUUCACAAAUCAAUACAUAGAUAUUUUUAAUAUAUGCCAAUUCUGAUUGCAAAGUUGGGACGAGUCUGCUUUGGUUCGAAUUGUGGGUGAGAUUCUGCGAACUUAGGAAAGCCUUACUUGACUCCAAAGCCCAUUUGGGCCCAUAUCCAAAACCUGUGUGUAGAGACUAUAGAGGGGCUUAUAUUAGCUGUCUUUGAUUCAUGAGUAUCUAGAAUGCUAUCGUUUUUAAUAUCGAAGUAUCCUGCAUUACUUAUUUACGGUAAUUUGUACACUCUUUAUAUAUAUGUGUGUGUGUCUGUGUGGAGUCUCCACGCAGCUGCAAGGUUAGACUUCCUAAUAUUUAAAAGUAGAAUAAAUUAUUUUUGAACUUAGAUGUAUACAGGAUAUGCAUAUAAGAUAGGCAGUGUAAACCGACAUUUCACAAAUUGUGCAUGUAUGGCAUAACACCAUAUGGAAAAGGACUUUCGUGCUCACAUGGCUUCUACUGGGCAAGAAUUAUAUUUUUCAGUAAUAAGUUCUAGAAAUGAUAAAGUUUCAUAAACCGUUUCACAUGUAUAUUAUUAAUCUUUUGCGUGACUAAUAUCAUGUCAAGCAAUCAUGUUGAGUUUCCAUAGGGAAUUUCUGUCGUCUUAUACAAAUAUUCAUGACACUCAUGCGUGCUCUCCCCUUCUUCUUUUUUAUUUAUUUUUUGGGAAUGGUGAAAAUUAAGGACCAUAAUUUUGUUAAUUUAGAAAUUUAGUGCAUCGAGAUAAGGUUGAGUGUGGUUCCGAGUGAAACUGCAAGAUCAAGAGUUCAAAAUAUCCGAAGACCUCAAAAGAUUUUAUCGAGCCAAAAAAGGGGAAAAAUAUAGUAAACUUAAAAGGGUAGUAAUCCGAGUGUGUUCACCGCAUUCUUAAUUUUUACAACGUUUUCAUAUGUUGGGACUAGUUUUGACCUUUUACUUUUGUUUAAUCCGAAUAUUAUGUUUCAUGUACUUCGAACUUUUUCAAAAUCCAAAACACUUCAAAUCUUCAUAAGUAUAACUAUUGAAAGGUAUAUUUACAUGACCUUUUCAUAAUCUUUUUAAAUUUACAUAUUAUUUUAUAUCUUGGCAAGAAAGCAAAAAAUAAAAAUAUCCAUUUUUAUUUUUGCUAAAUCAUAAAGUAACAAUUGUUUUGAUAAUUCGGUCGAUCUCAUUCUUCAACUCGUUUUAUCGUCUAUAACUUCCGUGAAAGAAAUCUAAAUCGGAACAUAUUUUAUCCAUUUACUGUGAUUCAAACAUCAAUAAAUUAUGGUGAAUGUAGGAGUUUAUUCAAUUUAAUAUUUGAAAAAAUAUGCAAGACACACGUGUCGCUUGUCCUAUAUUCCACCAAUAAGCGAGAUCUUUUUAUUUAUUUAUUAUGUACAGAUUUUAUUGAGUUUAAACUUCAAAAAUUAGAUAGAUAGCGGUAUUUCAAAUAUAUUUAGUAAUCCAAUUUAUUUUGGACUUAGCUUCUUUAUGCUACAAUGAUGUAAUUUGUUAUUUACGUGAUAUAGUUCAGAUGGCGUUUCUUAUUGAAUUCAGCAAUACUUAUCGACUUAAGGAUAGAGGAAAAGAAUUUUCAAUGAUAUAAUUUGUGAUUUCAAUGAUACUGUGUAUCAAAUUCAAAUAAUACACUUAACAAGAAUGAAUGGAAGUUAUGUUUUAUUUAGGCAUAUAAAACUUAUCCAAUUGAGAUCAAAGUAAUUUAACUUAUAUAGUAUAAAUAAUAUCCCUUAAAAUCCGUAAAAUUUGUUCAACCCACGAGCCAAUAAUUUCCCCCGCGCGUCGCAGUUUCCCUUUUAUCAAAUGCAAAUUUGGUAACGUUCGCGUCAGUAACAUUCCUUUCUAACAUCGAUAAGUCGCCAUACAAAUCCUUAGUCAAAGAACCCCAGAAGGAAGGAGGGAUGGGAGAAAAUCUAGGCAACUAAAGGGGAAAAGAAAAGAAAAAAAAGACGUGCAACAGAAAACAACAAUUAACAUCUAAAAAUGUCACUUCUUCCUGCCUAGGAAUCCAGUUAUUGGUACGCAAAUCAAGAACGUCUUUCACCAUGAACCUCAACGUUGGAGCCAGCUGAGUGUUGGUUGUCAAUUCUUCCAAUCGGUUGCGAUAUAAAUCGUUUCUAUGCUGCGAUUCUGGGUGCUCAUCGAGCUGCUUACCGAUGGUUUUGAGCAACCGGCAAAUAACCGCAAUAUUCUCCUCGGCAGGACAAGCAGCUCCUAGAACCUCCUGGGUUUUUUUUUUUGGUCGGUAAAUAGCAUUCAUCACUAAAACGUUGCGGCAAUGCAACUAAGUCCGGAAUCCAUACAUAAUAAAGACCAUAGUGGACAGGGGAGAGGGGUUUUUGCGGCCCAAUCGGUGGACUUGUUGGCCUCCCUGGGAACGAAAGACACAAAAACAUUUGUGAGUUUGGCCAGCAAAUCUUUGCAUUCCUCUAAAGUGGCGUGAACAGCCCAUGGGCUUGGCUUUCGGCCUGCAACACACUCCACCACUGACAAUUUGUCAGUUUCAAAUUGAAUGAUUUCGUGCACUUUAGCUGAAGAUGAAACUGAAGCUUCUUGACCACUUGUUUUCAGCAGCCUUGAGAGAACCGCAUGGAUGGCUAAAGACUCGAUUUUUAGGGCUGAAUUGACGUGAAACUUCAGUGCAAAGCCAUCGGUGAUGACUUCGGCGGCGUUCGUGCAGAUCCCGAUCGCCGAGCCUUUUUCCUUGUUCGUUUCUCCAAGAUCCAUCAAAGUUAUAUUUGAGAGUGCCCUUUGCUGGAGGAACCCAAACCGCAGGUUGGUGUGCGACUCCUUUAGGUCGAGCAUUUGUUUUUGGAUUUCAUAUGUUAAAUAGCUCAAGUUCUAAUCUCGCUUCCUCCGUAAUUUCUUCGUGUCUUGGUGCAUUGCCUUGGAAAACCAAGGCGUUACACCUCUUCUAGAUUUGCUAUAGGGUGCCGGCCAAUAGUUCCUUCGACGGUGAAUUGCUAUUUGAGAUUAGGGUAUCAAGAAACCAUUUGUCGAUUCUAGAUAUUUUCCGAGGGGAUGGGGCAAUUCUCAGAUCUAAAUUUGACCACACCUUUUUUGUCCAUUAACAUAGUAAAAACAGGUGUUUUGGCGUCUUUGGUUCACUAUGGCAUAUCGGGCAAAGUGGAUCAAUUAUCAUCUUUCUUUUGUAUAGAUUGUCCUUCGUUGAGAGUGCAUUAGUACACACACUUCAUGUAAAAAACCUGAUUUUUGGGUGGGUGUGGAGCUGCCAUAUCACGUUCUAUAAUUCCUUGGGCGGUUGGUAUGAUGAGGAAGCUUGGAAUUGAUUGCCAUGAUUGGUGGCUGAAUGUAAGAGUUGUGUCCACUUUUGAUAGAACAACUGUUUUUUGUCCAUAUGAGUUUGUCGUUUUCCGUAAGAGUCAAAGUAGUUGCAAGAAUUUCAUUGAUGAGACUCUCUCUUCAAAUAAGCUUGAUAAUUUCUGCAUAUUCCACUAUUUAAAUUGUUGGUCAAUUAGGUCAGCCACAUAUUUAGGAUCUCCUUGGAUCAGAGGUCCUCCGAUAUAUCCCCUCUCUAACCAUAUGUCUUCUCUUAAUCGAAUUUGCAUGCCAUCUCCCAUGGACCAUCUGAUUUGUUGCUCUAAUACCUCUCCUCCUAAAAGUAGGUUUUGCCAAUCCCAAAAUGGUCUAGAUCCUUUGUUUGCCUUUAAGAACUCCCUCGAAGGGUAAUAUAGUCCUUUCAUUAACUGACUCCAUAAGGCUGAAGGGGCCUCAAUACAUAAUAUAGAACCUCCUGGUUCAUGGAGCAGAGAACAAGUAACCUCAAUCCAGUCAUAAAAGUUGAAAAGAACGGGAUAUGUAAUGCGUUCUAUAGAACCCGAAGAAUGCUGUGAAUGAUCCUUUCAGUGACCAACUUUUGCUUCCGAAGCUCCCCAAUCAAUCUGAUGUUUCCCACGGUUCGAAGUUUGACCCUGCUCUCCUUUUCUCUUCGCUCAAGCUCCUGUUCGGGGGCAGUCGGUUGUCUUACCUCUUCCGUUGGAUUCUCAGCACCUUCAAAUACCUUCUGGCAGGUGUUUAUAAGUACUUGCCUGAAGGUGGUAUACCCCCUGCCUGGUUCAUCAGAGGGAAAACGGGGGGCAGCUUUACAUGGAGAUCGGAUCACAGACGAGCAUACAUGGGGCAGAAUUUGGGCUCCAGCACAGCUUUUGCGUAAAUAAGAUGAACUCCUCCCUGUAUCGCGAGAAAAACUUAAGUUGUCACAAUAAAUAGACACACUUACGGAAACUGGAGAAAAGAAAAUGCAGAAAACCUUCAAACUUUUCUGGAGUCAGCUUGUUCAGAAUCAUGAAAGGUAUGUAUUAUCCAUUGUAAGAGUCACGACUGCGAUACAAGUCUAACAUAACCAAUUCAAUGGCAUCGACUAAUCUCAAUGAAAUGCAAAGGAGGACCUCGUAAGGUGGUGUGUCGAGAAACACAAGCAAAAAGUCGAUGCAUGGAAUUAGUUAGAUCACACACUCAAGCAUGGAAAAGAUGGAACGUGGCUAGGGAAGAUAACAUAUGGGAACCAUAAUCCUCGAUCUCUUCUCCGCUAAUAAUACAUCGCAUACAGAUCACAAUAAUUGUGGACACCACCAUGAGCCUGCAAGUAUGAGGUCGAUGCAUAGAAAUAUUCGCAUUAGCAAUAAAAUAAAUUCAUGCACAAGGAAAGUCUGAAAAGAUGAUGCUUAAAAGAGAAUAUUAAGUUGCUGUACGCGGUAUAUGAAAAAGAACAGCAAUUCUCAUUGAUAUUAUCUUGGUGUACGUGUACCGAUAGAUGGGCGCAGAGGACUUAAACAUUAUGAUACAGAAGCAAAAAUACUGAGAAGCCAAGGUAUGAAUUCGCGUGCUCAUGAACCCAAUAAGCUAAUAUGGGAUGGUCACUCUAAAGAUCAAGAAAUGCAGAUAAGUUGCAAAACAUAAUGCCCAAUUGUGAGUCAUGAUGAGCAAAAAAUCCGAUGAUCAAAUCACUCAAGGGUUAACUUGAAAAUGGAACUGGAAAAUCCGUUUGACAGACAACAACAUUAACUAUCCAUAAGUAUAUUUUUACCCAAAAAAAAAAAAAAACUAUCCAUAAGUAUAUUUAAGAGAGAACUUCGAAAUCUAUCUUUUCAGCUUUUCUAUAAUCCUCGAGGAUCAGGAGUUUAAAGCACAUUGAGAAGGCAACCAAGCCAAACAUUAGCAACCAAAAAUGACACUUCGGCAAAAAUAAAUCUGUGCCGUGCAUAUAUCAAACAGAAUGCAAAGUACAAAUUCAUUAGAUAAACAUUGUAAGACAUGAAAUAACCCUUUGCGGUCUUCAGCUCCCAAUCUUUUUCCGACAGAUUACCCCUUCUGGCUGACCAAGGCACUUCAGCUUUAACGAGCCCAGACAUUGCAUCAUGUUAAAGCAGAAAAAACCCAUAAGAGCUGUUCCUUACUCAGCCGACCAAAAUAAGUGAAGCCAAAUGAGACAUGACAUAGCCAAAAAGUAGGGGUGUACAACUAGACCAGUUCUACUUAGGAACUAGAUUGGACUGCUCAAAAAACAAAUCACAAAAUCAGUUCCCUUUGGAAUUGGUCUAUGAAGAGGUUCCAAAUUUUUGGAAUUGGUUGAAACUAAUCUGGGAAUAGGUUCUGAAUGAAUACCUACUUGAAAACCGAACCAAAUCCCCCUAUUUUGGAAUCAGUUUUAUAAGCUAAAAUAUUAAAAUUAUAAUUUCUUUUUCCUCUAAAUUCUAACAUUAGUACUCCCCCGUCCUUUGUCCUUUCUCAGAACUCCUCUCGAAUCUAUCCUAUUCUCCUAAAUUUUUAUGGAUGAAUGGGGAAUUGAGUUUUAUAAAUUAUUUUUUUUACAUUACGUGUUUGACCUUUUUAUUAUUUAUAAUUGUACAUGGUUAGGCAUUCAUCAUUAUUAUUUUUGGCGGAUAGGGAUUUCUGUUAUUCAUCUUUUAUGAAUUACUUUGUUACUUAUAACCUCAUAUGAUUUUCAAGUAAAAAAAAAACAGGUUCUUGGAUAAACUCUGGCACCAAUCAGGAAAGCAUGGGUAGGUUUAGAACCCAUUAGAUUCCAGGGUCCAAAAACCAAGAAUCAAUCAUAACAAGUUAGGUUCCAUCUAACUCACCUCGGAACCGAUCACUCCUAUCAAAAACAAAAUUUGAUAGAUAGGUAAAGCAUGAGCAUUUAACGAAGGCAUGAUCUGAGACAAAGAUCUGAAUUUCAGAAGCAAAUGAGAACUCUAUCGUAAUUACUAAAAGGUGACUAGAAAACGUAUGCAGCAAGUCACUGCGGCCAACGAACAAUUACUUUCAUGAACCAUACUUCUCUAGCUACUAGAUAAGAACAAAUACAUUACUCUUCAAGAAGGCGAGUUAGCAUUCACAUGUGAAAAAGACGUGCGAGUCUAGCCGGAAAUGAUUGCGACCUGAUUAGAAGAGAUCUGUGCUCUUGUGGACUGCGAGUUGAGUUGCUUCAAGUGAUUAAAUUGGCUCAGUCGCUGCUGCCUAGAGUCAGAUUGGCCACCAAACUCUCUGUUUUCCCUGAUAUCCUCCGAGGAACUCUCCUCCACAGCAGCAACAACCUGGGAUUCUGACCGCGCCAGGCACGAUUGUCUGGCUCUUGAAAACGAUUGUACGUCUGAUUUGGCGCCUGGUGGGGAGAGACUACAUUGUCAUAGAAUCACUCAAUCACGUCAGCUAAAGUAACCCCGAACACAAAACUUCGAAUUUGCGAGCAUAAAAUCAUUGAGACACCAUUCGGAAAUCUCCUUGUAAUGCAAUUGACACAAUAUAAUCAUCACUCGGUCACUUAAGCUAAAGCAAAACCGAAGCGAUGCCACCAGUUGGAACCGCAUAGGAAAAUGCCAUUUUGGGUUGGCCCGCACAGAAGCCCCAGAAUUGAAAGGUGUAAACAUAUCCUUCUUUCAGAUACCUGCUUCAACAAACUAGGGCUAAACCAUUUUCCUUGCCAUUCACCCUACAACUUUAUGACCCAAAUAUCUUGAUAUUUGAUAUAAUCAAUGACGACUAAGAUCAAAUACCUUUUAACUCUUUGACAGCAAAAGUCACGUCUACUGGGUUGCUGCUAUGAGCAUACUGCACAAACUCUUCCACAUGUAUUAUCCACGGCUGAGUGUAGGAAAGAGUUGUUCUCUGCAACCAAAAUAUGAACCAUGAUAUUCUUCUCCAUAUUCAGUCGAAAAGAGUAGAGCUGGCGUCUAACUUUGGUAGGAUCAUUGUAGCUUCAAAAAUCAAUGGCUUUCCCACCAUAUUCACUUGCAACAUAAGAAGGUAUGGAGCUGAGUUCAGUUGCUGAAGCAUCUUGUGAAGGAUGUCUGAAAAUUUGCAAGCAAGUUCAGAUGACGAGGCCUCCCUAAAAUAUUUGCUGGGGCAUUUUUUUGUAUCUAGAGAAAGAAGUUGUACGAUGGGUCAACAAUUCAAGCUAUCCAGUAUAUUUUUUUAAUGCUUGCAUACAUAUGACAAGAACUUGGCCUAAACCUCCACAUGUACGCAUUAACAAAAACUCACGGUUGGUACAGUGAGAUAAACAAGUAUCUCUGCAUGGUGCAGCUUCUUAUCAAAUUAAUGCAGGUUUGACAGCUGCCAGCCUGCGAUUUGUACUGCAGUCAGAAAACAUACUGAAUGGUAUGUAGUUGAAAUUAUUGAGUCAAGAAAAGAAGUAUAAGUGGUAGACAUCGGAAUCUAAGGGCCUGUUUGGCAACUUGCCCAACAGUGCCAGAUUCUGAUUUUUUGUUCCCAGAAUCAGUUUGGGACGAGAAUCGCGUUUGGUAAAUUUUUUGUUCCCGGGAACAAUUUUGGACAAGAUUUGAGAAUCAAAAAAAAUUUGAUUCUCGUCUGAGAAUCAGAAAAAAGAAUCAAAACGGUAAAACCUUGUUCUUCUCUUUCAUCAUCUCGGUUGCCAUUCGCCAUCGCCUGCCGCCGUCCGCCGCCGCUCGCCGCCGGUCGCCGGUCCGCCGCCGGCCGCCGGUCCGACGAGAUCGCCGGAGGCUCGCCAGGCNNNNNNNNNNNNNNNNNNNNNNNNNNNNNNNNNNNNNNNNNNNNNNNNNNNNNNNNNNNNNNNNNNNNNNNNNNNNNNNNNNNNNNNNNNNNNNNNNNNNNNNNNNNNNNNNNNNNNNNNNNNNNNNNNNNNNNNNNNNNNNNNNNNNNNNNNNNNNNNNNNNNNNNNNNNNNNNNNNNNNNNNNNNNNNNNNNNNNNNNNNNNNNNNNNNNNNNNNNNNNNNNNNNNNNNNNNNNNNNNNNNNNNNNNNNNNNNNNNNNNNNNNNNNNNNNNNNNNNNNNNNNNNNNNNNNNNNNNNNNNNNNNNNNNNNNNNNNNNNNNNNNNNNNNNNNNNNNNNNNNNNNNNNNNNNNNNNNNNNNNNNNNNNNNNNNNNNNNNNNNNNNNNNNNNNNNNNNNNNNNNNNNNNNNNNNNNNNNNNNNNNNNNNNNNNNNNNNNNNNNNNNNNNNNNNNNNNNNNNNNNNNNNNNNNNNNNNNNNNNNNNNNNNNNNNNNNNNNNNNNNNNNNNNNNNNNNNNNNNNNNNNNNNNNNNNNNNNNNNNNNNNNNNNNNNNNNNNNNNNNNNNNNNNNNNNNNNNNNNNNNNNNNNNNNNNNNNNNNNNNNNNNNNNNNNNNNNNNNNNNNNNNNNNNNNNNNNNNNNNNNNNNNNNNNNNNNNNNNNNNNNNNNNNNNNNNNNNNNNNNNNNNNNNNNNNNNNNNNNNNNNNNNNNNNNNNNNNNNNNNNNNNNNNNNNNNNNNNNNNNNNNNNNNNNNNNNNNNNNNNNNNNNNNNNNNNNNNNNNNNNNNNNUUAUUGGGUCCUUCUUGCUGCACCAGGUUUGGAUAUGGUCUUCUUGCACCCCAAACCUGGAGCAGCUUCCGCGAGUCCACCGUGGAGGUUUAUAUAUGGACAAGACCUGGAGCCGCUUCGACCUCCACGACUCGUCGAAGCUGCUCCAGAUCUUCUUGGCCUUCGACCGGCUUCUUGGACCUCCACGGCCAAGGAAACCUAAACCGGCUUCUUGGACCUCCACGACCAAGAAAACCUAGACCGGCUCUUGGACACUGUGGACUCAACGAAGCUGCUCCAGGUCUUCUUGGCCUUCGACCUCCACCUUCUGGAUUGAAGUAUGUAGGUCGUGGAGGUCGAAGCCGCUCCGGGUCUUAUCCAUAUAAACCUCCACGGUGGACUCGUCGAAGCUGCUCCAGGUCUUCUUGGCCUUCGACCUUCACCUUCUGGACUGGAGCGUGGAGGUCGUGGAGGUCGAAGCCGCUCCAGGUCUUGUCCAUAUAUACCUCCAUGGGCCUUCGACCUAGAGCAGCUUCCACGAGUCCACCAUGGAGGUUUAUAUGGACAAGACCUCCACGGCCACCGUUGAGGUCUUGUCCACGGGCCACCGUACCUCCACGGUGUGCAAGACCUCCAUGGACAACACAGCGGUCCUCCACGAAGUCCACCUCGGAGGCUUGCCAUAUAAUCUCCACGAGGUCCCUCCCUAGAGGUUUAUACGACAAAACCCGUGGAGGUCNNNNNNNNNNNNNNNNNNNNNNNNNNNNNNNNNNNNNNNNNNNNNNNNNNNNNNNNNNNNNNNNNNNNNNNNNNNNNNNNNNNNNNNNNNNNNNNNNNNNCCGGCGAGGCUCGGCCUCGCCGAUCUGGCGAGGCCGAGCCUCGGCGGGGCUGGGCGAGCCUCGCCCAGCUGCCAGCGAGGCUCGGCCGACGAAGGCCGACCUCGCCGAGGGCUGGCGGCGCUCCGGUGAGCGUCGCCGGCCCUCGUCUGGCCGGUCGCCGGUCCGGCGACCGGCCAAAUGAAGAAGAAGAAGAAUAGGAAAAAAGGGGAAAAAAAAAUGAAAAAAAAGGAAAAAAAAAGAAAAAAGUAAAGAAAUUAUUUAAAAUUUAUUUAAAAAUCAAAAGAAAUUAUUUAAAAUUUAUUUAAAAAUCAAAAGAAAUUAAUUUGGAACAGAAUCAAUUAAUACGGUACCAAACGCAAUUCUAUUCCAGAAUAAAAAAUUUUGAACAGUUACCAAACACGUGUUUUUACUCAGAAUCAGUUCCCGGGAACAGAAUAAAAAAGAAUCAAUUCUUAUCAGAAUCAGCUCCCGGGAACAGAAUCGUUACCAAACGCGCCCUAAUUUGACAUAAACUUGCUGCUGUCUCUUUAUUUUGAAUCCGUUGGCUUUAUAAGUCAUACUGAUGCACUGCAAAAUCCGCAAGACAGAGUUCCCGCUGCUUUUGCAUGAUGAGAAAAUGGAGAAGCUCAUCUCCAUGGCACAUACGACGCAAUGAUGCUUAUCACCAUAGUUUGCAGUCCUUUUCCACAAUGAAUAUGUCAUUUUCAAGACUUCAUUUCUGCUGAUUUUUAAAUAAAAUUGGAGCAUAUUAUUUUUAGGAAGAAAAAGGAAUCCUCUAACUCUUAACCAUCAAAACACCAUUUCUGGCAUAAUGAACUUAGAGCACUGUGCGAACAGUUGAGAGGUCUUUCCUGUUGAAGAGCUGUAUAGUCCUUUGAAUUUUGGAUGCACGUCCGCUCACUACACACUCAAAUAAUCAAUGUUUGUAAUAGGUGUUCUAAGGAUAGAACAGAUUACCUACACAUAUUAUUUAGUCAGUCACUUACAACUAUAAACUAACAGAUAUAUUAGAAAGAUAAGCAAUGACACUAAACCUUCAAAAGAGCGCUACAUUGAACCUAUGCGCCUUAUACUAUAAACACAUCAAAGAGGUUUGACUUGAAGGUCAUCAAAUAAUAGGCAAAUCUUGACGAAUUGAAUGCGUGAAAGGAAAGGUGGAGGUUUAAUAAGAAUAUUAGAAUCUUAAUUAAGAAUCUACAAGAAAGAAGAUUAUACUUGUACUGAGAUCAAUAAUAUUUCUAUUCUAGUUUCAAAUUAGCACAAAAAGUGCGAAAUGCCUCACACAAGCUUAGAACUUGGAUUUUGUUAUUUGGCAGUUAAAUGCAACGAAGCAAAAGGAAGUCAUGGAAAAGUAUGUUCAUAUUAGAGUUAUGCCAGCGAAUGUAAUCGUGCUUUCACUUGUUGAGUGUUGUAAAAUUCCAUACAAUAGCAUCAAACAAAAUAGACUUUGAAUCACCCUAUCAACAGUAUUAGAUUCUUUCAAUGACUUCAGAUGUACGCACGUCAAGUUCUAAUCAAUGUAGGUUAAUGAAUUUCUGCCUCAAAUCCACUGCCAAAAGUUUCAUCCACUCGGCAACCGGUUGAAGGACUCAAAUUUCACAAUCAGACACUGUAUCGACCGAAAUGAGCCAAUACUUAAUAGAGCAUAGCAUCUAAACUAAACAUCACUCAUCAGGGCUCGAAUAAGCAACUUCUUAGCUAUUCCUUUCGAUGGAUGAAGCUGAGGAAUGAUCGACAUGGAUUUUACUCGUGACCCGCGAACUUUUUGACCGGAGCUGUGGGCGAGAGAGAGCGAAGAAGAAGAAGAAGAAGAAGAAACGGGGAAGGAGAAGGUUGACCAGAGAGGUCGUUCCCGACGCGGGAGAGGUGAGUGAUGGAGUCAGCGACGGUCCUCAAGGCGUUGCCAGUUGCCACUGAGGUUGAACUUGAUGUUUUUCGUUGGCGCAUGCGCUUGGGUUUUGAUAUGGUAAAAUGAAACGCGCGAAGGAAUUAGGCGAUGAAUAUGAAACCAGACAGGGAGGAAUGCAUAUGCAUGUUUCCGUAAUUUAUUUUUUGGCCAAUACGAUUAUUAUAGUUGGUUGUUUUUCUAUUUAUAUAUUUUUUAAGGAGAGCCUUUUUUUAUUUUAUUUUAUGUUCAUGUUUGUUGACUUAUUUAUGCUAUUUGAUCAAAAGCUUUUGAGUUAGUUGAAUUUAUCCCUUUUGAGCACAACAAUAAUCCAAUCUUUCUGAUCUAAGUCAACCGCAGAAUGCUCGGCUCAUUUUUUGGUAUAUGAAAGAAGCAGACUCACACCAUGUCGUGUAAAAAUAUUUCAAUAGAUAUUUUCGUUAAUUGAUAACACGUCAUCUACCAUUUUUGGCCCCAUAGAUAAGAUCAUAUCAUUUGAUGUUUACUGAAGUGAGUAUAUUAGCUUUCCGAUUUAUCAUUGGAUACUGGAUAGCACGAAAUAAUGACAAAUUUCAAGUAGUAAUUAUAAUAUAUUCAUAAAAGAACUAAUCUUUAAAAAAAAGCACCAAAUUUAGGUUGAGUGAUAAUUUUGACCCAACUUUCUUUUGUCUCAUAAAAAACUACAAACUUAAACCCUUAUCUCAACUCUGGCCCACAUCAUCAACUCUAUGUACGAACUCUAUGUACGAAGUCAACCUUGUUUCAAGAAAAAAGGUUCAUGGUGUCUCUCGAUGGGCGGUGAUCUACAGCUUUAGAUUACGAUACAACGGCGAAGUUUGGUCAAAGAAAUUCAAUCCGGGGAUCUUUUUGAUUUGUCGAUGAAGUAUAGGAGACAAUGAACAACUUCACUGUUACUUUUCAAUCUAUGGCUCAAAUCAGAAGAUAAUUAAUAGCACUUUACAUCUAGUUAGCAAGUGCACAUGGAUUUAUUAUUAAGGAUAAUCAAUGGUUCUAAGUUAAGGGAGGCCGGAUUUGACAAUUUAAGUGAAAGUUGAUGAUUUUUUUUAGAUAAAAAAAGGUUGGGGCAAAAAUUAUCAUUUGACCAAAAGUUGGUCCUUUUUUUGGUAAAGGACAUUCAUAAAAUGUAUAGUUUAAAUGGUUAUUUAUAUACACUGGCUUUUGUCAUUUAUAAUAUAAUUGAUUAUAGCAUCACUUUGGGAUAUUUGUGCUGCAAUAGGCUAUUUUAAGGUUUUUUUUUUUUUUUUUGUGGUAUUUGCCUUGAUAUAAAUCCGAACUUUUUUGCGAUACGUACAAAAAGUAACAAUAAUUUAUACUCUGUAGUCCUUUGUCAAAGGGUUUUUUUUGUGGUUAAUCAUACUCUAAGGCGUUCGUGGGUUGGAUACCAUACAGGUCAAAGACGAUUAAGCAACAUCGUUAUUGGGAAAUUUUUUUUAUUAAACAAAGGAAAUCACGAAGCCGUCGGAGACAAUGGGAAAUAGGGACCUGGAGGUCUGAAAACGAAACCCGUCUCGCCUAUUUUUUAAGGUAUUCAGUGUCAUCAUCAAACCUCCCUCCGAACCUGUUUCUUUCGUAGCUCUGGCUCCAAACCUCUUCUUCCGCUCUCUGAACCUGUUCCUUCAAAACUCACGAUCGCGACCUCUUCUUCUCCCACCGCCCUUUUCAUUAUCACAAAAGAAAAGACGAGGCAAAGUCCAAGGUUAAUGGCUACCAGAGGUCCAGCUAACGGCGGUGGUAGGAGGUAAGCUUCCGCAUCCUCAAUCAUGUAUUAACUACUGCUAGCCCAGCCUCCGUCUGGAAGUUGGAGAAUUGCCAGCAUGAGUAUCGUCCUCCAUUGAGCGUGAGGAGGAUCUCCAGGUAGCUCCAUCCAUUUGAGGUUCCGAUGNNNNNNNNNNNNNNNNNNNNNNNNNNNNNNNNNNNNNNNNNNNNNNNNNNNNNNNNNNNNNNNNNNNNNNNNNNNNNNNNNNNNNNNNNNNNNNNNNNNNCCAUAUAAACCUCCAUGGAGUCCACAGUGGAGGUCCGUAUAGUCCAUAUACAAGAGAAACUCGUAUUAAGAACAAUUUACUAAUUGGAAGUCUCGCUAGCUUUUCCUACUAAGAAAAGCUAAGACCUGCAAUUAGCUUUACUUUGUUUCUAUCCAGUGAGCAUGGGGCGUGCCAAGUAGUUUUGGGCGUCUUCGUGGUUUUGUUUUGUGGAUAAGUGCUGUUAGAGUGGUUGUUAGGGAGGUAUCCCCAGGUACUUUGAUGUUAAUUCUUUCCCAAUAGAUGGGUUACUCCAGCAGUACAUACACAGUUUAAAAUCCUGCAGUGCGUAGUCUUGUUAACUAUGAUUUGCUCUAGAUGCUUGGCAUCAUACCGUGCAUUAAGUUUCCUUUUGAACUUAAAUUGGGAGUUUUUAAUAGCUUUUGGAUGGACUAUCGUCUUAUGCUAUGCAGAAAGAGCACAAAACUUGAGCUUUUGCAAAAAAAUUGUCGCCUAACACGCAGCUUGUUGAUUUUAAUUCCAAGAGGUGGAGCAGAGGUUACUCGUCAAAUUGCUGCAAUUAUCCGAGCUCUUGAUUCGCUGGAGGGGCACCUGACUGAAGCCCUCCCGUACACGGAUAUUCCGGCCGACACUACCCGUGCAAAAAUUAUGCAGAUCUACAGAGUGCUCAAAUUCAUCAGGAUAGAAGGGCAAAAUAUGGACUCAAGGUUCCAACUUGCGUUCAUCGUCAUUGUUGUUGCUCUCAAAUGUGUCAGGUGUGGGCUACUGAUGUAUGUUCUAUUUGGUGACAUGCCUUGGCUAAUUUUCAUCCUCUAUGUCUUGACGACAUUCGCAUUCAUUGCGAAUUAGACAAUGGUGAUAGUUUCCAAGCAUUUGAAUGUUGUGGUUUGCUCUUUUUGAAGUUGUUUAUCAUUUUCUUAGACAUGAUGCGAAUAAGACAAUUGUAAUAGUUUCUAGGUCUUUGGAUGUUGUUGUUUGCUCUUUUUGAAGUUGUUUGUUUUUUGCUCAGACAUGAACCUUGCCUUGUACUAUUAUUAUUUUGAACUACUUUUACAUUACAAUGCUUUGAUUUUAUCACUGUCGUUGUACUUUUGAGAUUAGUCUAUCAGAAUUACUUAGUAAUUUUUAUUUUCACACAGUACUUGCUAAUAUAACCAGGUAAUCAUGCCUAGUGCAUGGUUGUGGACUGAAAACAAUGGCCAUUUGUGCAUGUUAUGUAAUUUACUACAUUACACACGAUAAUAACACAUGAAUUAAGUUGAUUGAGAUUUAGGUUCUUAAAUCCACGAAAACAGUUGCUUUUUUUCCUCUAUUAUGAAAAGCGUACCUAGAAUGUGCUAAAAGAAAAUUAAAGUAAAUUUAUGGAAGUCAAAUGUAAAAAUAAAUAUUAAUAUAGUUUUUUUUUUGGUCGAAAAAUAUUAAUAUAGUUUAAAAAAUUAAUCUUGUAACUAGGGAAGCAAGCAAGCAUUGUAACAUAUGGAGACCUAUCAUGGUGACUGUUAACUGGUUGUAACUGUGCAAGCAAAAAGCAGUUCAUCUCCUAUUACUCAUUGUGCUGAAACUCAACUCCAUCUUUUCAUACAUUUGGGCUGUGUUUAGCAGUCGGUAUAAAAUUUAGGAUAUGAUAAAGUCAGAUAUAAAUGGGAUAUAGGCAGGAUAAAAUUAUCUCAUGGGGGAGGUGGAAUAAAUGUGGAUAGGAUUUCUAAUGUCCAUAAUAGGAAAGUUAUUUUUCUAUAAUAACAAACUCAUUAAAUUAACAAAAUUGAAAUUAUAUUUCAAUAUAAAUAAUAUUUGAAUUCUAAUUUAAGAUAUUAAAAAUAAAAAAUAGAAAUUUAUUUUUAAUUAAUCUUAUUUCAAUUUAUUUAUUCAACUUUAAUUCUAUCUUAUAAUAAACAUUCAAUCUAUAAAUUAAAUAUUUUUAUUUAUUAUAUAUUUUAGGUAUUUUUGUAUUUUAGGUAUGUUAGUAUAGUUUACUAUUUGAUAAAAUUUUAUUAAAGAAUGAUGAAAGGGGAAAAAAGCAAUAAUAAAGAAAAUAAUAUAAAAAAGAGGAAAAAUAAAAUAAAAAUAAAUUAAGAAAUAGUGUUACAAGAGAUUUUCACCAUCUCCGUUUAUGAAUAUUUAGGUUCAUUUAUAAUGAUAUGCCAUUUAUAUAAAAAAAAAUUGUACAUGAUAUAAUGUGAAUAUAUCCAACUUUAAUACUGCGAUUCACCAAAUAAUGGACAUGAUAUAAAAAAAUCCCAGGAUUUCAUAUCUUAUCCAAUCCAGUCUUAUUUCGAUUAGAAAUCCAAACAACUAAACAUAGCCUUGGUGUUUAGUGGUUUGUUUUGAUAGGCGAUGGUGACGAAAGUUCCUAAAAUUAUAGUAUGAUUGCUGAUGGUUCGGCAAAAUUGGUGCUUGAAGAUGCAUUAUCAAAUUGGUGAAAGAAAAUCUUAUUUUGAUUAACCACAAAAAAAUUUAAAAACUUAAAAUCCAAAAAUUCAAACUUGGUGCUUGAAGAUGCAUUAUCAAAUUGGUGAAAGAAAAUCUUAUUUUGAUUAACCACAAAAAAAUUUAAAAAAAUUUAAAUCCCUAAAAUUCAAACUGACCUAAACCAUUGCAAUAUAUACAUACCCAUAUCCAAAUGUUUCGAUUCAGUUCAAGUUUCACGAAAACCUAUUGGACCGAACAAUUGAUACUUUGAGAGUGCGUUUGGUAACGUUUCUAUUCUGGGAAAUAAUUUUUUUUCAGAAACACUUUUUUUAUGUUUUUGUUUCUGUUUCCAAGAAAAGUUUCUGAGUAUUUGAACACGUUUGAUAACUACACAAAAUUUCUGUUUUCGGGAGAAAAAUGCGUUUGGUACAAUCCCAUAUAUUCUUAUGACUUAGAAUUUCUUUUAAUUUAUUAAUAAUUUUAUUACAUUUUUCAUUUUUUUUUCUUUUUUUUUCUCCUUCCUCUAGUUAGUUGUUGGUCGGCGAUCGACCAGAGAAGGGUUGGGAUCGACCAGAGAAGGGCCAGGAAGGUCAACCUCGGGAGAGGCUCAACGGCCACCGGCGAGGUCAAGCCUUGCUGUGGCUAGGCAAGUCUCGGCCUCGCCGUCGCGGUAGUCGGGUGAGGCUCGGCCUCACCAAAUCUGGGCGAGGUUGAGCUUGGCCCAACCUCGGCGAGGCUUGCGGUGGCCAGGUGAGGCCUUGCCGGAAACAAGAAACAACUUUUUUUUUUUGUUUCUUGUUUCCUAAAUUUGUUAUCGAGAACAAAUUUAUUCUCCGGAAUAAAAAACUUACCCAAUGCAUUUCUAUUCUAUUUUUACUCCUAGGAACAAAAAAAAGAAACACUUGUUUUCGGGAGUGGUAUAAAUGCACCCUUCAUUUAUACAUGUAACUUGUUUCUUGUUGGGGAAGGAUUAGAUACAACGUAAAUGUGGUAGUCGGUUGGGGGCAUCGACCUCAGACUGAUGCCUCUGCUCAGAUCUGGGAGCGGCGUCGCCGGAUCUCAAUUGCCCAGAAGCCGUCUCAUUGUCUCCACCUGUGCACAUUUCCGCACCCAUUCAACGCGAUCAGGACCCGAUUAAAGCCUAAAUUACCAAAAUUAAUCUACGAUAAAUCAACGAAAUCGUUUUAUAAAGCAGAAGAUGAUCUACCCCGAAAAGGGAAAAAAAAAAAUUAAAAACGACGACGACGACGACAUUCGGGCAUUGGUCGUGGGAUGAAAACGAAUAUACUUGCACCCACGAACUGACUUUCAGUAAAAAAAUAAAACUGUUUUAGCCCUGACCUCCCCUGUCCUGCAGCCCAUAAUAUUUUAAUUUCCAAAAGAAAAUACUAGGACGAAACUUACGUCAACGUGAAUUCUGAAAAAUAAAAAACCAGAGUACAUUUUCCGCUCGUUCAUCACCUGUAGUUCUACUUAGCUUGCAAAUUGUCGACGAAAUUGACAGGAAUCCGGUACAAUUAUAAUAACUUUAUCAAAAAUCAAUUUUUUGAUCACAAGUAUAAUAAACUUAACCCAAAUUAAUUUAUUCGACCGCCAAAAAUCUACACUAGUAUAUUUAUGAUAAAUAUACUAUUUGUUAAGUUGGAUCAAUACCACAAAAAUGAUAUAACUAUAACAAAUAAAGAGUAAAAUCUUAAAUUAAUAUAUUAGUCAAUUGUCACGUGUAAUCAAAUUUAGUAAUUUAACUAUAAAAAUUAUGAAAAAUGAUAAAUUUGUUAUAAAUGUACCGGUUGAAAUUUUUCAUGAUAAAAAAAAUUAAUUUAGAGUAAAUUUAUUAUAAGUGUAGCAUUUGGGAUUGGAAUGAACCCAUCUUAUUUUCUUGAAAACAUGCCUGCCACGAGCGGUGGAAUCACACCUUCGUUAGCCACCAUCGUCCGGUGCGCGAUGCUGUCCUCGUAGAGCUGCAACAGCACCACCACCGCAAUCUCCUUCUGCCUCUGCGUCCCCUCCUCCGCCAUCUCCACCCACCACCACAGGUAUCACCCCCCCUCCUCCACCAGCACAGCCCCUCGCCUCCGCUGCCCCAACCAACAUGCUCACCACGACCGCCGCCUUGUCCACCAUGCUUGACCCCAGCUCCAACAUCAGCUCCACCACGGCCUCAUUACCCCCGCCUGCACCGCCCUGACCUUGUUCUCCUUCGCGAAGCAUAGCGAGUAGAGCGCAAACGACGCGUCAUUCUCCCCCCUGCAAACCCCCGCUCUCUAGGAGGCUCACUAGUGGCGGGAUCGCCCCCGACUGCCCGAUCGCCACCUUGUUCUCCUCAAUAUUCGAGAGGGGACGCAACGAACACGCCGCGUUCUCCUUUUCCGUCUGCGUCCCCGUCCUCAGGGCCCUCACCAGCGGCUCUAUCGCCCCCAGACGCAGCUAUCAGCUCCUUGUUCUCGUUGCAAAGCGAGAGGUUGAAAAUUGCCGUGACCACGUGCUCUUGGACCAGAGCAGAAAAGAAGGUGUUUGUAUGCAACAGUUCAUUGCGGUUAUGUCCAACUGUUUACCAAUUCGACGAAAUUUCAAAAAUUUUGCUCCGAUACACAAAAUUCUUUCUCGUAGUUACCUGAGGAUCAGAGGACGAGAUGAGAGUGAUGAGAGGCCCGAGCGCGCCGGCCUGGGCAAUGCGGACACGGUUCUCGGGCUUGUUCUUGGUGAGGAGCCUGAUCUCGAGGGCAGCCUGCUUCUGCUUGUCGAGGCAGCAGGAGUUGAAGUUGCGGACGAGUUGGUGGAUGAGGACGUCGCAGUUGUCGGAGGGGCAGGCGACGGGGAGGUGGCGCCUCUCAUUCAAACAAGGGCCACGAGCAUCUUGCGCGAUCCAAUACUGAACUUCCGUUCCAGAGAGAAGAAAAGGAAUACCGACGCCGCUAACAUAGACGGGUUUACUGUCUCCAGUUAAAGUAGAUUCAUUUCUCAAGAGGGAACCCCCGGUAAUAAAAAGUCCAUCAGCUGGCACUUGAUCCCUAAUGUUAAGAGGGAAAAUAUCACCUGGACGAAGAUGAUGUGCAGAUAGUUUUUGUCUAAAACCGUUUCUGGUCACCUGAACCACAAUUUUUUUCUUCUCUGCAUGGAGAUCCUCAGACUGCAAAGAUUGUUUAUAAUCACUCGCGGCACUAACAAAUACGACAAGCAGAAUGCCAGCCACAAUUCCAACUCCAUCGCAGGCACACUUUGACCAGCCAUCGAUCAUUAUACCAACAAUUAGAGAGACAAAGGCACAAACUGCAAAUUUAUUCCAAAGAACCAAGUACAUUAUGUCUUGGAGAGCUUCCGAAACAAAGAACCAGAAUCCACGGGAUGGGCUCUCCGCAGGUGCCGAGAGCUCGUCCGCAAUACCUUAACUCCCCCAUGACUUCUUAGUUUUUUCUCAUUGUGGCCCCCAACAAUGGACUCCGAUUCAUCUGCAGCCUUGAAAUCUUCAGGUACUCUGUAAUCACUCAGUCCUGCAGUCGUGAGAUGAAUAGCACAGACUCGUGAUCACUUGGACAACCUCAAUUUCCAAUUUCUUCUCCCCCGCUGGAGUGCCUCUUCCGACGAGUUCUUUGCCUUCACCUCCCCGAAAUUCUCCUUCAAAUGGUUGUCAAUGUCUACUACCGCCCCUCCUCACUCCUACUUGGCUAAAAAUUAGCAACUUCUAUGUAUACAGGAGAGGCCCUCGCCCGACCUAAUCUCAAGCGCGAAACCAAAGCUUGGAGGACUGGCAUAAACGACUAGAACCUGAGGUUUCUACCGUACUACCAGAUCGGAUGUGGGGAAAUGUUCUUAAGAGCUUCGAUCUGAUCAGUGAAUCGAGAAGGAGACCAAAGCUGACUGGAAGAUUCAAAAAAAUAAGGAAAAGAACGAAACGGAACGAUUGCCUUGGUCUUCUAAGCCUUCAAUCCAUCUUCGCUGGACUUUGAUAGACGAAGCAAUAAGUGGAGGUCUCAUGGGACGCGAAGUGCACAAUCUAGCAAGCAACUAUAAUGCGUCUGCAAAGGAAGUGCGACGCCAUUGACGACGACGAUGCCAGUGGGAGGAACGACUAUAUAGGGGAGGAAUACGAAGGUGGGUCGGAAGCAACACCUCGACGCGUCGUCGACCUCCUGGAACGACAAAAAGGUCCUUUAUAGCUGUGUAGUUUUCUCAAGCUCCUUCUAGGACAUUUAGAAAUUCAAAGUUGCCCCGGAAAACCAAAGAUUUAUAUUGCUUUGCAAGAUGCGAAACUUUGGAACAGGUUCUUGAUUGGACUCCUGCCAACUUAAACUGUAAAUGUAAUUUAAUGUUUAAAUAUUUUAAUAAAAUUAAAAAGAUUUAAAUGAAUUCAAACUCUAGUUAAAAUUACAUAAAACUGUGAUAAUCGUUAAAACUGUAAUAAUUGUCCUCUACCGGUCAUAUACAUGCCGAUAGAUGUUUUUAAUAGGGUUUUGCUUUCUGGAUUACUUAUGAGCCUAAACUUAGGACAAACGUUUUUACUACCUCAAGAUAUAUAAAAGAAUCGUCAUGUUACUUAUGAAAAUACGGAUACUUGAGCUUUAUUUUAUUCCUAACAAAGUAAACGAUAAGAGAUGGGAGUUAGACCCACACAUUGUUUAUAAGAUGUAAGUAUUUCGAAAAUCUAAGUUUUGUCUUUUCGGUUUUUUUAAAAUUACAUUUCGUAGUUGCUUGACAAGCAUGAGCACCCCCACCAAUUUAUUCUCCCCUUACUGACCAUUAGGGGUGAGCAGUGGUCUAGGGUUGACCCUGGACCGACCCUGGACCGGCCCAACCCUGCUGGUCCUGGUCCGGUUUCCAAGGGGAUUGGGUCGGUCCUUGGUCCUGAAAUUCCAGGACCAACACUGUGCGGGUUGGUCCUCGGUCCUAAGAGUUUUGGGUCGGUCCAACCCUGGACCAACCCUGUAUAUUAUAUUAUAUUAUUUAUAAUUCUUUUAUAUAUUCAAACCUAAGUAAAAUGUCUGUUAUAUUAUAUUAUAUUGAGAUGUUCUAUCAAUAGCACUAAUAGUAGUUUCAAUUUAAAACUUUUGUUGAGUAUUAAUUAUGUGUUGUUUGUUUUGUUUUCAGGUGUUUAGAAGUUCAAGUGAAUUAACAAGAUGUAAAGUUAUAUAUUCAUGGUUUAUAUUAAGUAUUUUGAACUUUUUAUGGUUUAAUUGUAUUUUACUAAUGAAUUUCAACUGCACUUUGCUUUUCAAUUUGUGUCAAAUGGUAGAAGUUUUUGAAGAGUAAAGUAGUACUGCAGUUGCUACGGUGAUUUGCUAGUCAAGUGGUAUGAAGCUCAUUUUUUUGUUGAGUGGACUCUACAUGAUCAAAUGCAGGAAAACACUUUUGCAUAUGUUGUUAUGAAUAUUAAAGAUAGAUGAUUACAAGAACUUUCCAUCUUGUUCCAUAUCUCGAUAAGCGGUUAGCAGGUACGAAAUUUCUAUUAUUGUGUCAUCUUAAAUUUGCUAAAUAUGUAUUAGUAUUUAUAUUUUAGUUGCACAAUGCCGCAUUGUCAAUAGAUGUGUAAUUUGAAUUUGUAGGUUUGAUUUUUUAGGGAAUAUAAAAAAUAAGACGAAAAAAAUUAUCAGUCGGUCCCGGGUUGACCCUGGAACCGGACCGAACCCAUUGGGUCGGUCCGGUCCUUGGUCCCAGGCUCAAUAGGGUCGGUCCUCGGUCCUAAAAAUUGAGGACCAACACUGUACGGGUUGGUCCUAGGGUUAGGGGGUGGCCCGGACCAACCCGGACCAUGCUCACCCCUACUGACCAUACACCUUCCUACUUUUCAGCAUUAUUAAAGUAAGGAAGGGUGGUUUUGACCAGGAAAAAGGGUAGGAAAGAUGCCGGCCCUACUGUAAGUUUGCUUAGCUUCGACGGCCAAGAUUUCUUUUGAUACCUUGAUCUAUCUAUUAUGUAAAUACAUAAUAAUAGUGAACUCUUUCUUGAGAGUUGUCCUUCACUAGCGACGUGUAAAUUGCGGAAUUCAUUCUGCUUGUAAAAAAAUAAUUGUCAUGCACUCUCCACCCACUUUACUUACAACCAUAAUUUUGCAAAUAUAUAUAUAUAUAUAUAUAUAUAUGUAUAUCAUUAUACGUACGAAAAUUCACGGAAAGAAAACUCUAUUUUGCAACAUCGCUCCCCAUAAAGCUCAAAGACGAGGAGUAGAGCUUUGACUAGUCUUUUUGUAUUAUUUUUUUUAUUUUUAUAGUAGUAAAAAAGAGACUGUAAAAGGUCAAAACUCGGAGAAGACUUCUCUCUUUAUUCUGUUCAGGUACCGUAAGCAAAUCGAACAACGGGGAUAAACGCGUUAACUUGUUGAUUAGGACUCAGAGAGAGAGAGAGAGAGAGAGGGAGAGAGAUUGUGAUUGAUCGAGAAGGCCCGCGGCAGCGUAGUCGUCGGAGAAAAAUUUGGGUGCAGUUGGGAUGACUAUCACAGCACUGCAAGUCCCUCUCUUUCCCUUGGUUUCUCCCUCUUCUUCACGACUCUCCCUGUGGCCAGCCGUCGGCCAUUGGUCGAAGGGAAUAAACCAAAAAAGAAAAAUGGGGGUGGGGGAAGAAAGUGAGAGAAAGAAACUUUGAAGAAAAAAGAGACUUGCAACUUUUUUUAAAGAUGGGCCCGCGAGUGGACUAAUGCUAAUGCAUUGCUGAUUGCGAGGUGGCUAUCCACCUGCACCCAAUAUUUCCUCGGAGUAGUUCACGUAUGACUCGUACGUGAUUUGCCCACACUCACUGCAUGGUACUUCACAGGACCAAAAUUUCAAACCGACCAAACCGCACGUAUGGAUCCUGCGUCGUCCACCGAGAAAAGACAACUCAUUUUACAAGAUUCCUAUACAAUCGCAAUUCCCCUCAUGUGCUAAUUCGGUGGACCGUACGAGUAUGAUACGAAAUCCUUUACGCUAUCCCACCACAGGAUCUUCUUGUACCUUUCCAACAACCCUAGAAACCUGAACAUCUUUUUUUUUUUUUCCUUCUUUCAGGUUCACCAAUCAAUUUUAUCUAGGUUAGCCUUGGCUUACCUCGAUAAGUCCAUGAUCCCGAGCAAUCUUAAAGGCGCAUACCUCAUAAGUCCGAUUUCUUCGAUUGUUUGAACAUGCGGGAGCCAACUACGCUUAGGGUUCAAUUUUCUUUGGUUUUGAUUUGGGCCGCAUCCGGAUGAAUAAAUAACUUUGUUUCUCUCCGAUUCAAUUUAUUCCGAAUAACGAGCUGAUUAUCCAAUUGUUAAGAAUAAGCAAAUAAUAAAAGUAAUGACGACGGGUGUGAAUAAUCCAAUCCGCAAACACGCGCGCACACAUGCGCAAAAAUUGCUUACAGGCGAUAUUCUAAAGAAAAAUCUCUUGAUGUAUUUUGUAAAAGAAUGAUGAAGGCUUCACUACGUGAGAAGUAAAUCAAUAUCGAUAACUAAAGAAACCGAUCCCCUGUCAACUUGGGUUGAGUGGUAUCGAUUUUCAAGCAGAUUUUUUAGAGGAUACUCCUGUUAUCCACUUGCGUAGUACAGUAUCAUGUCUUUGUGAGGUACUUUAUGAGCAUUUAGGUAGUCGAGCAUAUGUGUUCGCCUCUGGAUUUUUGAGAAAAUAAAAAUCAAAUCAAAGUAAGCCAUUCGAAUAACCAAAACUAUUCCAUUUCACAAACCAAUCCUUAGAUCUUUCUAAUAUAUGCCAAUUCCGAUUGCAAAGAAGCAAUGAGUUUGCUUUGGUUCGAAUUGUGGGGUGAGGGGAAUGCCAACCAAGGAAAGCCUUACUUGACUUCAAAGCCCGUUUUGGCCCACAUCCAAAACCUGUGUAUAGACUACAGAGGGAAUUAUACUAGUUGUCACCUCUUUCAAGAGGAUUUGCGGCAUGUCAAGCCCUCAUAAAGUUCUUUGCUUUGCAUCGAAUUAAAUCACAUGCUCCACUGCUUGUGGAGACCCCUGUCAAUUCCUUUGACCUUCAUUCUUGCGAAUGUACUCCCCAUACAGGAUACUUCAUGUGUUAGCUACAACACUGCACGGAUUGAUAUGCACAGCACUUAGUAUCCAUCAUUUACAGUUAGGACUACUAGGGUAUCUAAUCCCAUUGGCUUCCCUAACUUUUGCCUCUCAGUGUCAAUGUUGGCUCAACAAAGUGCUUUUGCCGAUGUUGUUUUUUCUUAUCUCUACGCAUUUCACCACUCCACCGGAAAUUCUCUCUACCCCUACUAUACUCCAACUUGGUAUUUUCCACUACCUGUCCAGGGUUGAGCCUUGCGAUUUGAUGGCGGACUUAAAAAGCCACCUAUAGACACUUUACACCCAAUCAUUUCGGAUAAUGCUUGUAUCCUCUGUAUGAUUAGGUUCCAUUUGUAUACUUGGCGGAAUCUAGCAUAUCUUAAUCAAACCUUUUGCAUGGGCUUGUUGAGCACUUAUAUGGUCGGGGGAGGCUUACUUAUCCUUAUACUUUGGCUGCUUUAUCUAUUUUUGGUUUAAUUGCUUGUUGCUUUGUCUAGUUCAAUAAUACCGUUUGUCUUAGUGAAUUUCACAGGCUAUUGGGCCAUAAGCUUCUUAAGCUCAGGCAUUUACUUUCCUAGUUAGAGACCAAUGUCUUGGGGCUAAUGUGGGAUCCACUCAAGGACCUACUGAUUUAGGUAAAUACUUAAUGCGUUCCCCAAUUGGAGAAGUAAUUUGGGGGGGGGGGGGAAUUAUGCAUUUUUGGAAUCUACAUGCUCCUUGGUUAGAACCUUUAAGGGGUCCAAAUGGAUUGGAAUUGUGUGUCAACAAUACUAUUUUUAAUAUUAAAAAGUAUCUCACAUUAACUAUUUACGAAGUUUACACACUCUCUGUGUGUAUAAUAUAUACAUGCGAUCUCCACCCAACUACAAAAUUGGACUUCUUAACAUUUAAAACCAAAAUAAAUUAUUUCAAUUUAGAUGUAUAUAGAAUGUGCAUAUAAGAUGGCCGUAUAAACUAAAUUUCCAAAAAUCGUGCAAAAAUAGUAUAUAACUCCAUACGAAAGUAGGACUUUAGUGCUCACAUGGCUACAGUUGGUCAUGAAUCUUAUUUUUUCAUUAGAUAGUUCCAGACAUGAGAAAGAGUUCGUCAUAUGCAUUUGAUUAAAAAAUUGCCUAAAAAAUCUUAAACCAAUUUAGUCCUAAAUUUUUUAAUUAUGCCAAUUUAGUCCUAAAUAUUUUAAUGAUUUGUCAAUUAGUCCCGAACCUUUUGAUGAUUUGCCCAUUUAAUCCUACUAGCUUAAUCGGGUCAAGUAUUCAAAGCUUCCACUUUGAUAGAUCCUUGCGGAUACAUUUAAAACGUCAGGUCCAAAUUCAUCGUAUGAAAUUCCAUCUACAUGAUGACGAGAUAGAAAACGUUACGAUUAAAUUCUUUGUUAUUUUGGGCAAAAGACGUCAUGAUUCAAAUGGGACGCGUACCAAUAUUCAAAUCAGGCGAUUUGAUCGUUGAGCCAGCUCCUUAGAAGUCCGAAGUGCGGGACUUGGAAUGCCAGUAGUUGUUUUUCAUAGAAAGAUAGGCAUUACCUAACGAUUAGAAUGUUUCAUUUUUAUUGCUUUUGGUUCAAUUUGAGAGAAGGCAGAUUGAAUAAUAAACAACUCAGGAACCAGAAGUUCUAUAUUCAAAUUCCAUUGAUUGCGCAAACUGCUCUAAGUUAGGAUCACUUAUACGGGUUGAAGGCUUAGACUUAACUGGAUCAUGAGAUUUUUGAAGUGACCCAUGGGUUUCUAGGUAGUCAAGCAUUUGUGAUUGCCUCUAGGUAUUCGAUAAAAUAAGAUAAAAUCAAACUAAACCAUUUGAAUAACCACAAAACCAUUCCAUUUCACAAAUCAAUCCAUAGAUCUUUCCAAUAUACAUUUGAUUGCAAAGACGAAUUGAACUUGGUUCAGUUCGAAUCGCGGGUGACAAAAUAGUUGAGAUUUUGUGGCCGAAAAUAGGGCUGAAACUUUGCUUUGCCUACUUGGGAAAGCCUUUCUUGCCUUUAUAGUCCGUUUUGGCCCAAAUCCAAAACCUGUGUAUACAGACUAUAGAGGGGCUUUUAUUACCAGCUGGCUUUAAUACAGGCAAUGCAAUAUGUAGGAAUGCUAUUUGUUAGAGAAGAAAAAGUUUUUUUUUUCAUUCUAGGCUCGAUUUGUGUAAUAGAAAAUAAAUGAUUUGGAAAAUAAUUUUCUAAAAUUAAUUGCUUACAUUACUUAUAAAAAUGAAUGAAUUGACAAAAAUUCAUUAUUCGCAAAAGUAUCUAGACAUAAAUUCUUAUUUAUUUCAAGUAAUCCAAACCAUCAUUUAAAAAAAAAAAUGUUUUUUCAAAUCUUCUUUUUCAGCGAAACAAACAAAUACGUGUACAAGAUGUGCACAUAAGAUUAGGCUGAAUAAACUAAAUUUCCAAAAGUCGUGCACGCAUAGUAUAACUCCUUACGAGAAACAAGGAUUUUAGCACUCAACUCUCUCUCGGCUUUUCUAUUUUCUGAUGGAUUGUUACCGACUUAAAACAAUAACCAUGGCUUCUAUUGGUCAUGAAUCCUAUUUUUCAUUAGCCAAUUCUAGACACAAGAAAGUUCAUUAACGUACGUGUUGAUUAAUCUUCUGCAUGACCGAUCUUAUGCGAAGUAAUCAUAUUACUUUCGAGAGAUUUUUUAAAAAAACAUCAUAAACCUAUUAUGAGAUGGCCAGUUCAGUCCUAAAUUUUUCAAUUUAACCAAUUUAAUUUUAAAUCUUUUGAUAAUUUGUUAAUUUAGUUAUGAUCAAAUUUGGUUAGAAAUUACUAACAUGAAUGCUAGUCGUUUUAUGUGACGCAAUUGGUGUUGACAUUGACAAUUUUGCAAAUUUUUAAUUUUUUUUUUGAAUUUUUUUAUUUCAUUUUUUUAUUUUUAUUUUUAUUUUUCUCAUUUUCCUCCUCCAGCCGAUCCGAUGAGCGUGAUGAUGCCCUCGCCAGUUUGGGUGAGACAAGGGUGUUGCAAAGGUGAUGCCGAUGAAUGCGCCGAGACCGCUGCCAAGGAUCCUGCGCUUCACAAGCAAGUUGGAGGAGAACUGCAAUUUCCUUUGCACAAAAAGAAGUUUCCCUAGAGCUUUGCUAAGGAUGCUUUAACCAUUUAAAUGGUUAAAUGGCUGUCUUCAUUUUCCUGUAAGGCGUCUGGGAUGUUUCACCCAGCGGCUUCAUCGCGGGAAUUAGGCCCGGGGGAUUAUUUGGUUCAACCAUUUAACCCUUGACGGUUUAUCAUUACCCCAUUUUACAUUUGGGGUUGACUCUGAUAAAUGGGACAGUUUAAGGACCUGUCCAAAUCUAAGGAGAGUGAGUGAACUCGAGCUUGUGGUUAGGAUUUUGAGAAUGUUAUCAAGCUAGCUCGAAGAUCAUGAGAGGUUCGCAAGCAAAAUCACAAAUAGUGAUCAUUACCGCUUGGGUUUGAUUCUUGUGGUGGUCGAAUGGGGAAAAUUGGAUGGUAGACAUUGGAUAGCCAUUGCUGAGGCCUUGGACUGGCGGAGGGAAAUUAAAAAAAAAAUAAGGAAAAGGAAAAAGGAAAGGAAAGGAAAGGGAAGAAAAAAAUUCAUAAAUAUUUUAAAAAAAUCAUAAAAAUUAAUUCAUACCAGUACUAACUAUGUUAUGUGAGAUAAUUGAUGCCUAAUUAACUUUUUCCAAUCAAGUUUCACAGGAAUGAUUACAUUGACAAAUUGUUAAAAAAUUUAAUAUUAAAUUGGCCAAAUUUAAAAUGUUGAAACUGAAUUGGUCGCUUCUCAUUAGAUUUAUGAUUUUUGGAAAAUUAUUAAACUUUGGUGAACAAAUGAAUAAGAUUUGCUUCUAUUUGACUGCAAACAAACAGGCCCUCCCAUCUGACCAAAAAAAAAAGACAAACGGGCCCUCCCACUUUUCCAUGGUACUGAUUUGGAUUCUGAAUGGACUCAUCAUUCGUACUCAUAGUGGCAUCGCGUCACCCGUGACGUCAAUGAGAAGAUCCAUUUAUUUCUUUAUUGGACAAUAUUAAAAGUAGUCCUGCUCCACUUGAUGAGAAAUAUUAAUCAUGUUUUGAAAAUUGAGUAUUCAUUUCACAUUGCUAAAAAUAUAAUAUAUCUCUAACAGACGAUAAUCUAUAGCCUGCGUUGAAAGUUUUGCUCUUCUUUUCUUUAGAUUCUUAUCUAGUAUAUUGGGGACACUUGCUAAUAAAAUUCCUACUUUAUAAAAUAUGCGAUGGAGCAUGAACUUCAACAUCAUUUUAAUUAAUGGAAAAAUACAUGAACUCCUUUUCAACUGUCCUUUUGGUAUAGUUUUUGCGUAUUAUUAUGGUUCAGUCAGAUAGUGAUCUAGUCCUAUGGGAAACAUUAACGCUGUGGAUUUAAUUGUUUGUUACCAUUCAAUAAUAAAUAGGGAUUACUGAAAAAACAAGCAUUUUCAAAUUUAUGCUUACUUCUCAAGUAUCAUCAUCGUUUUCAAAAACCUUCAAUGUGCAUCUUAUUAAAAAUGAAAAGACACAUUUACCACAAACCUGACGCUGCCUCUAAUGCCUCUCGCCAUCAAGCCCCUUGCCUAGAUGACCCACCAUCUCUUCCCUCUGUCGAGAGGAGCUCCCGGCUCGUGACCAUGGGAAUCAAGCUUGAGUGAGCCACAAACUCAAUGCGAGAGCUCUUGAGUCUCCCAUGGCAGUGGCCAUUGGAGACCAGGCCUCGAUAUGCUCUAGACUGGGUCUAAGGCAGCGGUCGUCAUUGGCUCCGAGUCCAAGGACGGCGGGGGGCCGAGUGAAGAGGUGACACUGACGGGUGAUGAGCAAGAGAGAGACAGUGGAGGAGAGAAAAAUGUGUGUUAAGGUUUGUGAACUUUUUUUUUUUUUGGGAGAAAGGGCAAUUUGUAAAGGAAUAUGACAAUUUCUAGAAAUAAGUGAGAUUGUGCAACAUGAAUUGAUAUGAAACUAGGCGCACCUCAGAUGGUCCAUUUGGAAACGUUAAGCUCCUAGAGGAGCUCUCGAAUUCAGAAGUACAACUGAAAAAAUAAAUGAAAAACUCAAAAUUUAAAUUGUAAGUUUCAAAAGUAAAGAUAGGUAUAUAUUGGAUGGAAAUCUGGUGAUUUUUUAUAAUUAUCUCUAUAGUGAGAACCAAAAGAGAAAUCACCAGUAAUUGCAAUUUUGUUCCCACCGACUACCACACGACGUAUCCAAAAUAAAAAAGCUUGCAAAAGUUAGAAUGAGCUUUAAACGACGACUUUUCUUUCUCUAUCUCUUUCUCUUUCUUAUCAAGAUGAAGUGACAUGUCAUGGAAAAGAGAACGGUUCAAACGCCCUUUGGUGCAGUAAAAAAAAAAACGCCCUUUGGUCAAAAAAAAAAAAAAACGCCCUUUGGUCCUUAUGUGUUAGCCCCACCAAAAGAAUGCAUGGGGAUUUCACUUCAUAACUUUGCCUUCUCAUUAUUUUAUUAUUUCUCUUCUCUAAUUUGAAUGAUAUUCUACCUGGUCCCUACCCGUGUUGGGCAUGCCAGGCAGCCUAUCUAUGGAUCAGGCGGGGGAUGUUUCCAAGUUGGUUACAAGUCUCCCCCGGUUUAUCAUUAUCCCAUUUUACGUUUUAGGUUGACUCCGAUAAACGGAAUAGUUUAAGGACUUGUUCAGGUCUAAGGGCAUUUCACCCAUUCGUCUACCUCUUAUUUUUCUUGGUGGGUAGAACCCAAUACCCUAGAUCCGUUUUAAAGUUGCGAGGGGUCAACCAGGGAUCCCCCUUUAGACUUGGCUUUGUAAUGGAGCCCAUCUCGGGGUAGUUUACCGACCUGCCCAGGUCGAACCGACUACUUUCUUAUAACACGAUUUAUCUUUUCUUUGUACCCAAUUUUAUUUAUUUUUCAUUCUACUAAAUUGAUAACCGUUCUAUUAAUCAUAAACUUUUUUAUUUUUAUUUUUUAUUGCUUCAAUAUGUUCAUUAAAUAUAUAGAGUUAUUGGCUUCAUAUCAAUCCACCUGAUUUGGCCAAUUGUUUCAAUAAAUCUCUAUAUAUGGGACAAAUAUUUCAAGAGGUACAUGACAUCAAUAUAAACGUCCACAAUGUUAUUUGGUAUAACUUAUUUUGCUUUUCUGUUUUUAAGUUCUUACAUUUAAAGCUUAGCUGAUUGUCGAAUUUUAUGGAAAAAGUAGGUGGUAAUGAUAUAUUGUAAAAUAUGCAUACUCACCGCUAUAACACAUCAAAUAGGAAGAUGAAGCUUUGGCAACUUAAAUUUCCCAUGUGACAGAGAUGAUAAUGAUGAUGAUGAACACACACAGUCAAGACAAAAGCAAAGGAAAUUUGUCAAAAAAAAAAAAAUUUGUAGCUUUAAGAGAAAGGCAUGAGUUCAAGCUAGUAAGUAGGAAUAAAGCUUUAUCCGGAGGUAAUGAAAGAGAAGAUGAAGACGAUUAUGGCAAUGAAACUACGAGUUUGGAGAAUGAGCUUAGCCAUAAUAAUGAAGAACCUGUGCGUAGAAGGAAAGUACUAUUGCUACGAUCCAAUUGUUAAUAAACCCUUUUUGUUUGUAGGGAUGAAAUUUAAUGAUGCCAAACAAUUAUUAAAAAGAAAAAAAAACAUUGAUCUAAGUGCUUACAACCCAAUUAUCCAUAGAAGCUCUAUGGCACAUUGGGUAGGAAUGAGUCAUUCCAAAUAAGGUCCUUCCAGAAAGAACAUAUUUGUCCAAUUAUAUUUGAUAAUGAAAGGGUAAUAAGCGUGUGGUUGUCGAAACACUUCUUUAAUAUUGUCAAAGCAAUGCCCAAGAUCAAGAGUCCUUAGAUUCAGCUAUUAAUGAAGGAGCAGUUGGGGGGUUAAUGUGUCGAUUUAGUACAAGAGAGCUAAGCUAAAUGUGAUGAAAAUAUUAUUGGGUUGGUACAAGAAAGAAUAUGCGUGGGUACGAGAUUAUACUUGCGAAUUCAUGCUUCAAAACCUAUCUAAUAGAGCAUAUGUAGGAGUCGUACAGAGGUCACUGCCUGAUUGUGGGCCUAGGUUUGAUAGAUUUUAUAUUUAUUUAGAUGCAUGCAAAUGAGGUUUUUUGGCUGGUUGUAAAAGAGUUGUAAAAUUGGAUGAAUGUUUUUUAAAAUGUUUAUGCAAGGGGGAGUUGUUGGCUAUUGUAGAGAGAGAUACCAACAAUUAAAUUUUUUUGAUAUCUUAGGUAAUUGUCAAGAUAGAGAACAAGGAUACUUAGUAAUGAUUGACCACCGAUGAGGGAGGACUCUCACACACGCACACGCCCACGCACACACACGCCCACGCACACACACACAUUGCCUAACAAGAAAAGGGUUUUUUUUUUUUUGUUAAGCAUCAAAUGAGAAAGAAACCGUACGAAAAGAAAGAACAAUAAGACGAGUUCUUGCUUUCGAUGUAUGUAGAGCGUUUUGCUUUGGCUUGAACACUAGUGAGUCUAAACUUAGGACAAAUUUUUUCAUUAAAUCAAUAUAGUAAUCUAUGCUUAGAAAUGGGGAAAACUAGGUCAAUUGCGGCAGGUAUGUUAUCUCACAAGAGGCGAACCUCUGUUCAAGCUUUCAAGGGAUUAUCUUUUAGCCGCAAACUACCUGAAAUUUUAGUUCAGAAUAUAGAGACUCUCAAAGAUGUCCGGAUGGCAACAUCUCUAACUUAUUUGAGCUGCAUUUUUAGAGGAUCCUACUAAACUGGAGAAUAAGAAGUGUUUUAAAGAGAUAUGGAGAGAAUUUACAUAAGUACACACUUUACUUUAAGGGACUUUACCACUCAUGAAAAUAUAAAUUCUCAAGCUUGAUUUUUAUUCCUUAACUAAGUAAAUGACAAGAGAUAGGAGUCAAACCUAGACAUUGUUUAUAAGAUGCUAGUAUUUUGAAAAUCUAAGUUUUAUCUUUUCGGUUAUUUUAAACUUACAUUCGUGGUUGCUUGACAGGCAUGAGCACCCCCACCAAUUUAUUCUCGCAUCACUGUCCAUACGCCUUCCUGUUUUGUCAGCAUUAUCAAAGCAAGGAAAGAUUGUUUUUUUAAGCGGGAAAAAGGGUAGGAAAGAUGACUCCCCUAAUGUAUGUUGCUUAGCUUCGAUGGCCAAGAUGUCUUUUGGUACCAUGAUUUAUAUAUUGUAUAAAUAUAUAAUGAUAAACUCUUUCUCAAGAUCUGUCUAACUAUAGCGAUGAGUACGAUGCAGAAUCGUAGAAAGAUUGAUCAUUCUCCUUAUAUAAGAAUAAUUGUCAUGCACUCUCCAGCCAUUUUACUUUCGACCACGAUUUGCAAAUAUAUAUUUAUAUGUAUAUAUAUCAUUAUAUGAAUGAAAAUUUACGGAAGGGAAACUCCAUUUUGCAACAUCACUCCCCAUAAAACUCAAAGACGGGGAGUAGAGCUUUGACUAGUCUUUUUAUAUUAUUUUUUCUUUUUUCCUCAGUAGAAAUUAGGCCAUAAAAAGCCAAAACUCGAAUAAGACAUCUCUCUCUUGUUCUGUUCGGAUUCCGUAAGGAAAUCGAACAGCGGGGAUAAACGCGUUAAUUAGUUGGUUAGGAGUGAAAGAGAGAGAGACGUUGUGACUGGUCAAGAGGGCCCGCGGGAGCGGAGUGGAUAAGUUCACGUAUGACUCGCACGUGAUUUGCACGUCAACCCUAGUCUUUUUUUUUUUUUUGAUCGAGAAAUAUGAUAUACGAUUGAUUACUUAGUCACUGUUUGGGACAAUUACAUCAAGAGCAUCGGUGCAUAAUAAAUCUAGAAAAGCAGGCAGGGGGGGUGGAACAAUCAAUUGGGGGAAAGAAAAUUACACCGGCAGGCCUUUGCAAGCCAAUCAGCGGGCCGGUUUGUUGUUCGACCACAGUGGGCCAGAGAAAUGUCCCUGAAUGUCUGCAGUUUCGCUCGGGCCCGGUCCAAGAGAGGUUGAAUUCGCCAGUUCACUUCCGUCGAAGUGGAAAGUCCUUGCACGAGCGAAGAGCAGUCAGUUUGUACUUUCAGAGAAAGUUCCACACGGGUUGCAAGUAGAUCUAGGGUUUCAAGCAGAGACAAAGCUUCUGCCUGUCUGCAUGAUGCUUUCCCAGGACCAAAGUUUCAAAAACUCAGUGGAGAGCUUUGCCCACACUCCACAGUCAAACCGACCAAACCGCACGUACGAAUCGCGCGUUGUCCGCCGAGAAAAGACGGUUCAUUUUGUAAGUAUGAUACGAAAUCCUGUAAGCGAUCCCACCACAGGAUAUUCUUGAAUCGCGCGUUGUCCACCGAGAAAAGACGGCUCAUUUUGUAAGUAUGAUACGAAAUCCUGUACGUGAUCCCACCAGAGGAUAUUCUUGGACCUUCCCUACAACCCUAUAUGCUUAAAUAUAUCUUUCUUUUGGUUCACCAAUCAACUAUAUUUAUGCUAGCUUUCGCUUACCUCGAUCGGUUCACGUUCCCAGACAAUCUUAAGGGCGUGCAUCCUAAUAGUUUGAUUUCUUCGAUUGUUGAUCCAGAUGAAUAAAUAAUUGUGUUUUUUCUAAUUCAAUUUUUUCCGAAAAGGGGGCGAGUCGAUUAUCAAAUUGUUAAGAAUAGACAAAUGAUAAAAGAGUGCAAGCUUGAUCCCACUAUCUUCAUAAGACUAGACCAAUAUUAUCAACCGAAAAUCAAAACAAUAUUUCUUCGGAUGGACUUUGACAACCAACAAGGUAUCAUGGUAGAGAAGGGAAGUAAAAACAACAACACGGCACAAAACUGACAAAGAUCUGAAUUUCAGAAGCAAAUGGGAACUCUGUCAUAAUUACUAAAGGGUGACUAGAAAACGUAUGCAACAAAUCAGUGUGGCCAACAUACUUUCAUGAACCAUGCUUCUCUAGCUACUAAAUAAGAACAAGUACAAUACUCUUCAAGAAGGCGAGUUAACAUUCACAUGUAAAAAAGAUGUGCGAGUCUAGCCAGAAAUGAACGCGAUUCGAUUAGAAGAGAUCUGUGCUCUUGCAGACUGGGAGUUGAGUCGGUUCAAGUGAUUAAAUUGGUUCAGUCGCUACCGCCUAGAGUCAGAUUGGCCACCAAACUCUGUUUUCCCUGAUAUCCUCCGAGGACCUCUCCUCCACAGCAGCAAGAACCUGGGGAUUCUGACCGUGCCAGGCACGAUUGUCCGGCUCUGGAAAACGAUUGUGUGUUUGAUUUGGCGCCCGGUGGGGGAAGACUACAUUGUCAUAUAAUCACUCAAAUCACUUCAGCUGAAGUAACCCUCAACACAAAAUUUAGAAUUUUCUAGCAUGAAUCCAUCGAGACACCAUUCGGAGACUCCUUGGAAUGCAAUUGACACAAUAUAAUCAUCACUCGGUCACUUAAGCUAAAGGCUAAAGCAACACCGAAGAGAUGCCAUUUAGUCGGAACCACGUAGGAAAAUGUCGUUUUGGGUUGGCCCGCGCAGAAGCCCCAGAAUUGAAAGGUGUAAACAUAUCUUUCUUUUAGAAGCCUGCUUCUACAAACUAGGGCUAAACCUUCUUCCUUGCAAUUCACCCUACAAGUCUUGAGUAUUACUUAUUGUCUUUCAGUGAUAGAGUGUGAGUUUAACAAAGAAAACGAUGAAAAGAAUAAACGUGAAAAUGAGUACAACAACAGAGAAGAAGAAAAUGACCCUCUUCCUGCCUGGAGAAAAUAUUCAGUGGUUAGCAAUCACCACGUCAUCGUCCUAUGUGGCGCGCACGAGCCUAGAUGGCUCCACUGAAAUGUCGACACGUGUUCACUGACAUGGACGGCUGGAAAAUGGAAAAGUCUAAAAUGCGAGGCUUUCUUUUUCUCUCUCUUCUGUCAGCAGACUGAAAAAGGACUGAGGAGACUCGAUAAUUAAUGCUCGAAUUUGAGUUGCCGCUAAAACUCUCUCUCCUCUUUUCAAUUUUCAAGCUUUUUGGCCUUCUCGGACAAGAGAAACGAUGAAGCUUCUCUCCCUUUUCUCUUGCGCGCUCCUCCGCCUCCGACUCUGCCUUCCCCUUCCCCAAAGCCGCCUUUGGUCACUACUGCUUGGGUCUGCCUUUGGCACAUCGGCUCCCCCAAGAGCCCCGCUCAGUCGCAGCUGCUGGAUCCUGAGCCCCCCUCGCCUCCGCCAUUGUCUCCGGAGCCUCAUCGCGCCGAUCUUUUGGGAACCCUAGCGACGUUUACUAUGGCUGCAACAUCUCUUAACCUCGGAAACUUCUGGGUCUCCGUCCGAUUGCGUCCCUCCGACAAGCUCGUCAUCAUGCCUCACCCCAUCUAUGAUUUCGUCAUUUGGGAACAUUUUGGAUACCCGCAGCUGACGGUGUCGAUUUGGUGUUCUUUUUCCCCAACCGAGCUACAGAAAACCUUGGAACACCGCGGUCGGGGAGGAUUAUCCGAAAUCAAAGACUCGUCUUCGCCGAGUUCACUGCACUCAGACUCCCUGUAAUAUUUGGAUAGAAGAAGAUGUCGACCAUGUACGUAUUGGAGCCGCCAACGAAGGGGAAGGUUUGUCUCCAUGUUUGUGUGAUCUGAGUUUUUGUUUGAUUUUUCUGGAAUGGCACUGAGAAGUUGUGGACUCCUAUUAUUCUGUGAUUGCAUCAUGAAUCUAGCUGCAUUUUACUUUUUCGCGAUCUGGUUUUGAUUCGAUUCUCUUCCUCUUGCUUUAUUUUUGGACAUGUGGUUGGAAGUUGCGCUCUGAUGAGUUUAUGAUUAAUGUGAAAGCAACGUUAAGAUGAGCGAUCAAGCUCCUUCUGCAUUCGAUUCCAACCUCCAAUUUGUGUUUCUGCGUCUUCGCUUCACAGAAAUGGCUGCUAAGGCUAAGCCAAUUGCUCCCGUCCCUAAAUUGUGAAUUGGGUCGAGAUUGCUUAUUCAAUGCUCAAGAAUGGAUGGUGGAGUAGCUUCUUCGGGAUUGAGUUUGUGUUCCAUGGAGUUUUAAACAUAUCUUCAGUUUGAAGUGCACUCGCAUUGAAAACUUGGUUAGAUCUUUCAUUUGGUUUGUGUUAAAGAUAGAUUUUGUUGUGGGAAGAGGAAAUAUCCAAUUAUUUUGUCAGUUUGGCCUUUCGGCAAUGGAAAUAUUGAAGGAGGGUGAAGUCAUGUAGAAUCGAACUGUUGUAUGAACAGUAAUUAAGCUUAAUUUGCUUUGAGUGAAGUCCUUGAUCUUAAGAUUAUGUGUAGUAUUAUCAUGCUCUUCAACAUUGUUUAAUUUCUAAAUUCAAAGGAAUUUGGUUUUCAAAUUCAUAACCUUGUCUAUACUUCUUGAUGGUCGGAUGAGCUAAUGUCUUGAUUGUGGGCAUUAAUGGUUGAAGCUAGCUAGAUUUGUGUAUUUAAGUUGGAUGAUCUUGUCAAUAUAUUUGUCAAUGAGCUGGUCGAACCUGCUGUCUGCUCGCAGUUAGGCAUUUCAAUGUAAAAUGCCUUUUUCCACUUUGUUAUUGUUCAAAUGAGGUGGUUGCUUAGCUGGUGGAUGAGAUUGUAUUGGCAAUGGUUGUGGUAAUGUACGUGAUUGUGUCCAAUAAGUUUCAGUUUCCUCUAUUAUGUGGUCUGCAUAAGCCGCCUUGUUCUUUUUUACCCUAAUUUAUGCUGUCUACUUGCAGUUCAAGGUGGCGAUCCUACUCGCUCCAGCACACGUCCCUUCUCUCGCUAUUGAAAUUGAAUUGCAGGGUUCGAGCAAAACCAAUUGGUUUAGUCUAUUAGCAUAGAGGGUUUUGUUGAUAGUUAUUGUUGCUGGUGAUGGCUGAAGUGUUAUUGCUGUUCUGUUGCAUUAGCUCAUGUGACACUAGAGCUUGCCUUAGUUCUUUCUUUAAUUUAGUGUAUUCUUUCUUUUUUGGGGUAAGGGAAGAACAAAAGAUUGACUUUGGCUGGGUUUUGCACAAAUAAAAGAGACAUUGUGCUCCAAGGAUGGUUCUCUGAAAAGGAAAUUAUGAAUAUAGAAACGUGUCAUUUACAAAUUCUUCAAUGUAGGUUAGGUCCUGUUGUUUGUUCUAUGUUCCCGUUUUUGCUUUCUCUUUGUGCCAUAAAUGUUGUGAGCUAGUGAUAAGGUUACUUAUUGUUUACUUUCUUGUGACAACAUAUGGCAAGUGCAAAUCUUCUUUUCUCACAUUGAGAUGUAAUUAGUCAUUGUUUUUAGAUAACUGGAGUGUGAAGGCAACCCAAAGAAAGACCACAGAAACUGGUAGGAUGGGGUAUCUCUGCAAUGUCCCUUACAAGUUCGGGAGCGGUUUCAGAGAAGGUGAUGAGCUUUGCUCUUGUUUGAUUGUCUAUGGAGAUAAUGUUAUCUUUUGCACUUGGUGAUGGAAUUUUUUUUGGCUUUUUUGCUGAUUUAUUGAGCUGAUGAUGAUGUAGGUACUGAAGCCAUGCGAAGGAAGCACGUAGCACUGGCUUCUGCUUAAUUCUUAUGAUAGUUUUGGGACAUAAUCAUGUAAACUUGAAGAAUUUAGUUAUCUAGACGCUGGGAACUUUUGGCAUAUACAGUUGCCCUUUAAUAUACUUUGUUUUAAUUUCAUCUAUUGUGGCAUUAUUUGCAAUUUUGAAUGAGCAAAGAUUAAGCUUACCAUUGUUUUAGAACUGUCUAGUGAUGUGGUAGUCGGCCAUUAAUGCUCUUGCAAUGCCUCCUUGUCCUUAGUUAUAACUUUAAUCUUUCUUUGAUUGGAGCAAGUUGUUGAGUCCUAUUAUGGCGAUCUUGACUGUGAGAGUGUGCCCCUUCUCAACCUGUAUCAUCUCACGAGAUCUUUGGUACGCAGCGAGAUGGUUAUUUGGAGGCAAAAAUUUAUCCUGUUCCCUUUAACAUUUAGAUUAUGCCCAACUUAGAUCUUUUUAAAAAUUAAGAGACGGACGAUGACAUGCACCAUGCAAGUCACAAUCUAUUAAAAGGUUGAGACUUUUAUGCAAAAGAUAUAACAAGAUCAAAUUCGACCUUGUUGAGAUUAAAACAGAAGCCAUGGACUUAAUUUUACCUAUACACAAUCAACAUUUCUAAACUUUUCUUAGUGAAAUAGGGUGGCUUCAAAAUGAUAAAUAGAUUAAAAGAGACAGACCCUUUCCUUCGAAGAAAUGCAUCUCUAUUUUCAAGUUAGAGCAAGAUCAAGAAAAUUGUCAAGACUUGCAAUUGCAUCUCACCUUUUUGCCAAUGAAUUACUGUUGCAUGCAGAUAGAGGGUUGUAGGGGCGCUAAACUAGUAAUUUCUUAGUCAUCACCCAGGGUUGAGCUUUGGUAUGGUAUCUACCACUAAAAGUUGACUGGGAGAUUACUAGAAAUUCAUCCCAGUUGAAAGGAAAUGAUGGCUGUCCUUUAAAGCAAACCUGGCAAUAUCCCAGUCUCCUUACAACAAGAAGCCAAAUCUUGGCUAUUUGUCACUGGGCUUAGCAAAUUUCAAAUCGUAGGCAUAACAUAGAGAAAGCCUUCUUCCUUAAAUGUAUAGCCUUUUCAAUAUCAUGCACACGCUAUAUUUUCUUCUCAAUACCAAGUACAAAGAUAAAGACCAAUUCAAAGUUAAUUCCACUUUCUCAAUGAAGCAGAUUGAUCUCCCCAUAAAUGCUUCAGAAGACCUAUUCCAUGAAGCUAACCGACAAGCUUCUCCCCCUUCAGUAAAAGGUCCAUGUUUAUGUUCGGACUAAGAUUGUUUGUCCACCUUAGCCAGCAACUCUUGCCACAAUGAAGAAGACCUAACUGCAAUUAGACAGCAGAAAUCUGGGUAAAAAAAAAAGGCAGUUUAUGCAAACCACAUAAUAGAGGCAACUGAAUCUUGGUGGCAUAAUCAUAUACAUCACCACAACCAUCACCAUACAUUAUCCAUCAGCUAAAGAAACACCUCAUUUAACCAAGAACAAAGUGGAAAAGGUAUUUUACAUUGAAAUGCCUAGCUGCAAGCGACAAUAGGCAUAACUAGCUUAUUGUGCUUCCUCAGUACUAUAAGCAAAGAGCCAAUAAAAUUUAAUUAAGCAGGAGAAAUAUAUUGACAAGAUCAUCCAACUUAAAUACACAAAUCUAGCUAGCUUCAACCAUUAAUGCCCAUAGUCAAGACAUUAGCUCAUUCGACCAUCAAGAGGUACAAACAAGGUUAUGAGUUUGAAAACCAAAUUCCUUCAAAUUCAGAAAUUAAACAAUGUUGAAGAGCAUGAUAAUACUGCAUGCAUAAUCUUAAGAUCAAGGACUUCACUCAAUGCGAAUUAAGCUCAGUUAUUGUCCAUACAACAGUUCGAUUCUACAUGACUUCAUCACUCAUUUAAUAUUCCUGUUGCCGAAAGACCAAAGUGACAAAACAAGUUGGAAAUUUCCUCUUCUCACAACAAAAUCUAUCUUUAGCACAAACCAAUUGAAAGAUCUAACCAUCUUUUCAAUGCGAGUGCACUCCAAACUGAAGAUACGUUAAAAACUUCAUAAUCUUCAGAUAAUAAAUUAAUCAGAUCGCAAGAGUUUCAUGAACCUGCGAGGGAACAUGCAGAGAUACCUCAUCUUACCAAUUUCUAUGGUCUUCCUUCGGAUUGCCUUCACACUCUAGUUAUCUAAAAACAGUGAUUAAAUACAACUAAAUGUGCGAAAAGAAGAUUUACUCUUGCCAUAUGCUGUCACAAGAAAGAAAACAAUAAGCAACCUCAUCACUAGCUCACAACAUCAAUGGUGUUAAGAGAAAGCAAAAGCGGGGACAACAUAGAAACCUACAUUGAAGUUUUUGGACAUGACAGAUUUCUAUAUUCAUAAUUUCCUUUUUAGAGAACCAUCUUUAGAGCACAAUCUUUUAUAUAUUUGUGCAAAACCCAGCUAAAAGCCAAUCUGUUGUUCUUCCCCUCACCCUAGAAUACACGAUUGACUUGUGCAGAUCCUGCAUUGAAGCAAGGGCUAAUGCAAUCUCUAGUCACAUGAACAAAUGCCAUAGAACAUUACUAACACAUCAGCCAUCACCAUCAACAAUAACCAUCAACAGAACCCUCUAUGCUAACAGACCAAACCAAUUGCUCAAAAUCUUUGUAAUUCCAUUUCGAGAGAGGGGGAGGGAAGGGGGCGGGGGGGGGGGGGGGACCUGUGCUGAAGCCACUAGGAAAGGAUUGACACCUUGAACAAGGAAGUCCUCGACGAUGCGGUGAAAGAUGGUGCCGUCGUAGUAACAUUCGAGGCAGAGCUUAAAGAAGUUCCUUACGGCCUUGGGCGCUUCUUUUGGCCAGAGCUUGAUGUCGAGUGGGCAUGCGUCGCGUUUAGCACUAACAUACACAGUCGACUUCUUCUUUUAUCCAAUUUCUACAGGGACUCCGGGUGCAGUGAUCUCGAUGAAGACAAAUCUCUGAUUUCAGAGUUUCCUCCCCGACUGCAAUGUUCCAAGGCUCAUAAGUUGCCGAGGCUGAGAGAUAUGGUGUGGCCACAGUAGACGCCGCUAGGGUUCUCAAGAGACCGGCACGAGCAUGCGUGGGGGAGAGAGAGAGAGGAGUCUGAUGAAUUGUGGCAGCCGAUGAGGCUCCGGAGGCAACGGUGGAGGUGAAGGGGGCUCGGGACCGAGCAGCUGCGACCAAGCGAGGGUCAUGGGGGAGGCGACGUGCCAGAGGCAGAUCUUAGCAGCACCUGCGACCGAUGAGGGCCUUGGGAGAGGCGGAGGCGAGCGAUCAGGCGUGCGGGAGAAUGAGAGAGAAGGUGUCUUUGUCUUUUCUUCUCAACUCAAUGAAGGAGAAGGCAAAAGAAAUGUUUGCAAAUUGAAAAGAGGAGAGAGAUUUUUAAGCGGCAAGAGCAUUAAAUGUUGCUUUUGCCGAGGCUUUUUUCAGUCGGCUGACAGAAGAGAGAGAAAAAGAAAGCCUCACAUUUUAGACUUUUUCAUUUUCCAGCCGUCCAAGUCAGUGAACACGUGUCGACAUUUCAGUGGAACCAUCUAGGCUCGUGCGUGCCACGUAGGACGAUGACGUGGUGAUUGCUAACCACUGAAUAUUUUCUCCUCUUCCUGAUACUUGAGUAGUGCCAAGGAGAAUGUCCAUUUGAGUGACUGCUAAGCGUUCAGAGAGAGAGAGAGAGAGAGAGAGAGAGAGAGAGAGAGAGAGGGACCCCGCUCGUCAGAAAUGUGAAAGGCCUUCUCCUUUUUCUUUUCUUCUCCCUUCACUUUCUCUCACUUUAUUUUCUUCUUCUUCCUUCACGGAACAAUCACCGGAGGCGGCUUUCUUCUCUCACUUUCUUGUUCUUGUUCUUCUUCUUCCUUCACUACGCCCUCCAUUUAGUUUGCGACCCUCUCCCAGGCGGCUGCUUCAGUGUCGCUGGACCUCGUCUAUCGCUCACAUGGUCGAGACACUCUCAGAGGAAGAGCUCCCACCUGUUCUAGCGGACGCUGCAUCGCUCCGGCCUCACGGUGAGAGCCGACGUACAUCCUCAUCUUCCCCUCGUGCGCGUCAGCCUCGAGAUUUUACCUGCACUGAAGAGAAUUGGAGGAAUUGUGUUGUAUUGCUUUCCUUUGUGUACAUGUACAGAAGGCUAUUUAUAAUACAUAAAAGAAAGACAAAAAUAGGAAAAAGAAAAUAUACACAAGACAACGUUUUCCUUGGAUGAAGCAGCGAGCACCGGACGCAGCAAAGCAAAGGAGCAGCUGAUGAUGAAGUAGACACAAGCCAGAGCCACAACAGAUUCGGAAUUACUGCCAAUCCAAAACCUACCAUUGAGGGCGAAGAAGAUGGAGCCUUGAAGAAGAGAAAAGAGGAGAAAAACAAAACAAAAAUAGUGUGCCUUGGCCAAAAUGCAGUGUCACCGGCAGGAAAAUUUAAGCGGCGAUGUCUGAGCUGCAGAAUCAUGUAAGUUCGGACUAAAUUACGAGAGACCACUUGUACUAAUCAGACGCUUUCCCCUCGACUUACCUCGUUCCAUCUCCCUUGUUAGAUGUUAAUCGUUCUCCAUUUACAUAUAUAAACGUGAUUUGCUUGUCACUCACAAUGGCUUCCUAACUCACCGUCCAACAAAGGAAAAAAAAAAUCGGCUUCCUACCUCGGGAAGUUUCGUGUUUUACCUUCUGUUAUGAGAUGAUUCGCUGAGGCGGUGUCUUUAUGAAACCGAGUUAGGUAAAUAAUUGGCUUGAUUGCAUACAAGGGCAAACGCGAAUUUUCCUCGGGAACUCCUCUUUGGUCGGUCAACAGCAGGCGCAAACUAGUUGCAAAUGGAAAGCCAGAACAGAGCUUUCGAGAGAGAAAGAUCAAUUCAUUGCCGAAGCACCUCGCCUCUGCUUUCCUCAGAUGCGGGUCAUAGGUUCAUAUGGCAAUUCAAAGCCAUACUUAUUUUCGAUAGAUUUAGCGCAUUUUCUUUUAACUCAUUGUAACUGCGUAAGCAAGCAUUGGAACAGAUGGAGGGAGACCUAUCAUAGUGACCGUAAUUCGUUGUAACCAUGCAAGCAACUAGCAGUUCAUCUCCAAUUACUGUUUGUGCUGAAACUCAACUCUGUCUUUUCGUACGGUGUUUAGUGGUUUGUUUUGAUAGGUGACGGUGAUGAAAGUUCCUAAAAUUAUAGUAUGAUUGCCCAUAGCUCGGCGAAAUUGAUGAUUGAAGAUGCAUUAUCAAAUUGGUGAACGAAUAUCUUUUUUUGAUCAACCACAAAAUAAUUAAAAAUAAUUAAAAUCCAAAUAUCCAAACUGACCCAAACCGUCGCAAUAUAUACACGCCCAUGUCCAAAUGUUUGGGUUCGGUUCAGAUAUUACGAAAACCUAAAUUGAACUGCACAGGUUUUUUUUCUUUUUUUCGUCAGAACUGCACAGCUGACACUCCUAAUAUAUACAUGUAAUUUGGUUUUCGCUGGGGAAGGAUUCGAUGCGGUGAGCAUGUGGCGGUUGGUUAGGGGGCACCAACCUCAGACUAAUACCUAUGAUGUUCUGGCAGCGGCGUCGCCGGAUCUCAGUUGCUCAGAAGCCGUAUCAGUGUCUCCGCCUGUCCACAUUUCCACAACCAUUCAACACGAUCAGGACGCAAUUAAAGCCUAAUUAACCAAAAUUAACCUACGAAAAAUCAACGAAGUCGUUUUAUAAAGCAGAAGAUGAUCUACCCCGAAAAGGAAAAAGAAAAAAAAUUAAAAACGACCACGACCACGACGACCACGACGUUCGCCGUCGCUAUUCUGAAAAAGAAACAAAUCCUAUUUUCCUCAAAACAUGCCUGCCACGUCAUUCGCCGUGACUCGCCGACCCGAAGCGGAGCUCGCCGCUCGCCACCCAACACAGAGUCAAUCUCGUGUCUUACCUUUUGCUUUCCGCGGUUGGUGCCGGACUGCGACAGGGCCACGAGCGGCGGAAUCGCCCCUUCCUCAGCCACCAUGGUCCGGUACGCGCUGUCCUGGCAGAGCUGCAACAGCACCACCACAGCGAUCUCCUUCUGCCUCUGCGUCCCCUCCUCCACCAUCUUCACCAGCACCGGUAUCCCCCCCUCCUUCACCAACUUAGCCCUCCCAUCCGCCGCCCACAUCAGCGUGAUCACCAUUUCCGCCGCCGCCUUGUCCACCAUGCUUGACCCCAGGUCCGACAUCAGCUCCACCAGCGGCCUCAUCGCCCCCGCCUGAACCACCAUCGUCUGGUACUCGACGCCGUCCUUGCAGAGCUGCAACAGCACCUCCACCGCAAAUCGCUUCUGCCUCUGCGUCCCCACCUCCGCUAUCUUCACCAGCACCGGUACUCCCCCCUCCUUCACCAGCGUAGCCCCCGCCCCCGCCGCCCUCAUCAGCGUGAUCACCAUGCCCGCUGCCAUGUCCACCAUGCUCGACCCCAAGUCCGCCAUCAUCUCCACCAGCGGCCGCAUCGCCCCCGCCUGCACCGCCCUGACCUUGUUCUCCUCCACGAAGCAUAGCGAGUAGAGCGCGGCCGACGCGUCCUUCUUCCCCUGCGACCCCCGGCUUCCCAGGAGGUUCACCAGUAGCGGGAUCGCCCCCGACCGCCCGAUCGCCACCUUGUUCUCCUCAAUCUGCGAGAGGCGGAGCAGCGUGCACGCCGCGUUCUCCCUCGCGGUCGUCGUCCCCGUCCUCAGGGCCUUCACCAGCGACUCUAUCGCCCCGGACGCCGCAAUCAGUUCCUUGUUCUCGUCACAGAUCGAGAGGUUGUGAAUCGCCGUGACGCCAUACUCUUGUGCCUGAGCAGACAAGAAAGUGUUUUUAUGCAACUGUUAAUUACAGUUAUAUCCGACUGUUACCAUUUCCAUGGAAUUUCAAAAAUUAUGCUUCGCCGGUUGGCGACAACGAAUAACCAAUCCACAAAAUUCUUUCUCGUAGUUACCUGAGGAUCGGAGGACGAGAUGAGAGUGAUGAGAGGCUUGAUCGCACCGGCCUGGGCAAUGCGGACGCGGUUCUCGGGCUUGUUCUUGGUGAGGAGCCUGAUCUCGAGGGCAGCCUGCUUCUGCUCGUCGAGGCAGCAGGAGUCGAGGUCACGGACGAGCUGGCGGAUGAGGUCGUCAGAGGCGCAGGCCCUGUCAUUGGAACUGGGGUCACAAGCAUCUUGCGUGAUCCAAUACUGAACUUCCGUUCCAGGGAGAAGGAAAGGAAUACCGACGCCGCUAGCAUUGACGGGUUUACCGUCUCCAGUUAACCUAGAUUCAUUUUCCAAGAGGGAACCCCCGGUGAUAAAAAGUCCAUCAGCUGGCACUUGAUCCCCAAUGUUAAGAUGGACAAUAUCGCCUGGACGAAGAUCACGUGUAGGUAGUUUUUGUCCAAUACCAUUUCUGGUCACCGGAACUGCAAUUUUUUCCUGCUGUGCACGCAAAUCCUUAGACUGCAAAGGUUGCUUACAAUCACUGUUGGCACAAGCAGAUACCACAAGCAGAAUGCUAGCCCCAAUUACAAGGCCCUCGAGGGCACACUUUGACCAGCGUUCGAUCAUUAUACCAACAAUGAAAGAGACAACGGCACAAACUGCAAAUUUACUCCGAGGAACCAAGUACGUCAUGCCUUGGAGAGCUUCCAAAAUAAAGAACCAGAUUCCACGGGAUGGGCUCUCCGCAGAUGUCGGGAUCUUGUCUGUAAUACCUUCAACUCUUCCAUGACUUGUUAGUUUUUUCUCAUCUUGGCCCUCAACAAUGGACUCCGAUUCAUCUGCAGCCUUCACAUCUUCUGGUACUCUGUAAUCACUCGGUCCUGCGGUCGUGCGAUGCGCAGCGUGGCCCUCUGAUCGCUUGGAUAGAUUAAGCAUGAAUGCGAACCUCCGUUUCCAAUUCUUCCCCAACGAGCGCAAUCUUCUCCCUCGCUGGGGUGCCUCCUCUGACGAGUUCUUCGCCUUCACCACUCCGAAAUUCUCGUUCAAAUGGUUAUGUCUCCUACCCCUCUCCUCACUCCUACUCAGCUAUAAAUUAGCAACUUCUAUGUACACAGAAGAAGCCCCAACCCGACCUAAUCUCAAGCGCGAAUCCAAAGCUUGGAGGAUCGGCUAACAUGAGUAGAUCCUGAGGUUCCUAGCGUACUACCAGAUCGGAUGUGGGGAAAUGUUCUUAAAAGCUAUGAUCUGAUCAGUGAAUCAAGCAGGAAACCAAAGCUGAACGGGGAAGAUUCAAAAGAUGAGGAAAGAACUAACCGAAACGACCUUUAUUCAAAAAACGAGGUCUUGUGGUAUCCGCGAACAGCACGACGAUCUAGCAGGAAACCAAAGCUGACCGGGGAAGAUUCGAAAAAUGAGGUCUUGUGGUAUCCGCGAAGAGCACGACGAUCUAGCAAGCAACAAAAAUGCGACUGCAUUGGAAGUGCGACUAAAUGGACGAGGAAGACGAGGACGAUGGUGGGUGAGGAGCAAAAUUUCGACUUGUCAUUGACCCUCUCUCUUUGUAGACCCUAUGACGCUCUCUCUCCUCCGCGCAUGGGCUCCCUCUCGGCAAUCUCAAGGGUCUCGGGCUCAAAACCAAGGUCAGUGGGAUCGUAUGGACGACUUGACCUUGGUGGAAUUUGGACGGCGGGUGGAGUAGGAAGACUUCGCCGACAUGGGGUCUCCAAAGAGAAGAGAGAGAGAAAGGAAGAGGGGGAGCAUGGGAUGGGAAAAGAGGGACACCUUUUUUGAAAAACGUUGGAUUAAGGGAGAGAGAGAGAGGGGGGAGGGAUCCGACGUUGUUGGGUGGUCGUUGCUUUCGUUUCCUCGACAUAAAAGGAUUCUCCUUGGCCGACCCUUUCUCGGUUGGUUCCUCCCCCUUUUCUUUCUCCUUUAUCUAAAAUAAUAGGAUUAUAGAAGUAAGCGGUGGACCAUACGAGCAUCAUACGAAAUCCUUUACGCACCACAGGAUAUUCUGGGACCUUCCCUACAACCCUAGAAACUUAAAUAUCUUUCUUUUGCUUUGUCUUCCGGUUCUCCAAUUAAUUAUAUUUAGGCUAGCUUUUGCUUAUCUUGAUCAGUCCACGUUCCCGAGCACUCUUAAGGAUGUGCAUCCUAGAAGUUCGAUUUCUUCGAUUGUUUGAACACGACAGAGCUAGUACGCUUUGGAUUUGAUUUUCUUUGGUUUUUAUUUAGGUCGGGGAUCCAGAUGAAUAAAUAACUCUGUUUCUUUCCAAUUCAAUUUAUUCCGAUUAUGGGUCGAGUCGAUUAUCAAAUUGUUAAGAAUAGACAAAUGAUAAAAUAAUGAUGAUGGGUGUGAAUGGCAAUCCACAAACACGCACGCACGGAGGAGCAAAAAUUGCUCACACGCGAUAUUCUAAAGAAAAAUCUCUCAAUGCAUUUUGUAAAAUAAUGAUGAAGGCUUCACUACAUGAGAGGUAAAGCAAUAUCUAUAACUAAAGAAAACCCUAAACAUAAAAACCAGGAAUAAAAUAAAUAUGACAUCCUAAUAAGACGAUCUUAACCCAAAUUCGUAAUUUUUAAAUCAAAAUACAAUAAUAUCUUUAAUAAAAUCCUAAAGAUGAGAAAAUAUAUAAAAGAAAAAUCUCAUUCACAAUUAUUAAGAAUGCAUUUGGUUUAGCAUUCCCAAUGGGCUUUCGGCCUCCGAAAACCCCUUGGAGGCCGAAAGUCCUUUAGAGAAAUAUUUGACUGAUUGAUAACUAUUUUGAAAUAACUUUCAAGUAAAAAUCCGUAUUUGAAAGGUUAAAAACCCAAUGGUAGUAGGGAUAAGCAUUAAGCUUUCAACAUUUGACCAAAUGUUAUAACUCAAUUUUUUCUUUCAAAACUACCCUCGCCCAUUCUUCAAUUUUUGAUUUUGCCCUCGUUAUUAUUUUUUUAAAUGCUAAAAAAAUCAAUAUAUAUAUAAAUAUAUAUAAAUGCUAAAAAAAUCAAAUAUUUAUAAAUGCUAAAAAAAUCAAAUAUAUACAAUUUUUUUUUAAAAAGACGAACCCUUCACCAAUUCAUCAAAGGGCUACAGCCGCCAAGCCAAAUUUGGCGCUAACGACCAUUGGUCAAGGCAAGCCGAGGUCAAGUGACCUCAAGCGAGGGUCACGAAACCCCAGCAAGGGCUAUCAGAGGUCGCAUCACCUUAGGCAACUUAAGCAGCAUGACUUAGGCGAUUGCCACAUGGGUCUUGCGGCCUCAGGUGAAGAUUGUCUGAGGCUAUGAGAUCUAGGUGGCGAUCACUUACGUCGUCGCCGAGGGUCGCUGGAGGUUGGGCGACCUCGGGCAACCCUCGCCAAGGUUGUGCAUCCAUCGCCAAACGUCACCCGUCAAUCACAAUUGAUAGCAGUCGUAGCCCUUCACCAUACCGGCAAAAGGUUUAGUCCAUUUUUUAAAUAUAAAUAUAUAUAUUUGAUUUUUUUAACAUUAUUGUCAAAAAUUAUAUUUGAAAAGUUGCAUAUAUUUUUUUCAAUUUUAAACAAAUAAAAAUUAAAAAACUAAUAUUAUCAACCAAAUAGCUUUUUAAAUGUGUUUUAUACUAAACGGUAUUUAUCUCAAAAUUGCUUCUCAAAGCAUAAUUUACUAAACAGCUUUUGCAUUUAUCUAAAACUCUUUAGGUUAAACUGUUUUAUAUUUUUCUAAUGGGCUUUUAGAAUGCUGAAUUAAAUGCAUUCUAAUUGAUCCUGUGUCAAUUAGGGUUGAGUGGUAUCGAUUUCCAAGUAUCUUAUCUUUGUGAGGUACUUUAUGGGCGUCAAAGUAGUCGAGCAUCUGUGUUCGCCUCUGGAUUUUCGAGAAAAUAAAAAUCAAAUCAAAGUAAGCCAUUCGAAUAACAAAAGCUAUUCCAUUGCACAAAUCAAUCCAUAGAUAUCUUUCUAAUAUAUGCCAAUUCCAAUUGCAAAGUGGGAAUGAGUUUGCUUUGGUUCGAAUUGGGGGUGAGGCUCUGCCAACUCAGGAAAGCCUUGCUUGACUUUAAAGCCCAUUUUGGCCCAAAUCCAAAAACCUUUGUACAAACUAUGGAGGGCCUCAUGUGUGUUUACAAUGCUAUUUUCAAUAUUAAAAAGUAUCCCGCACUAAUUCUUUACGGAGCCUAUACACUCUUCAUGUGUGUGUAUAUAUAUAUAUAUAUAUAUAUAUAUAUGUAUGGUCUCCACCCAACUACAAAGUUGGAAUUCCUAACAUUUAAAAGCAAAAUAAAUUAUUUGUCAAUUUAGAUGUAUAUAGGAUGUGCAUAUAAGAUGGGCCGCACAAACUAAAUUUCCAAAAAUCGUGCACAUACAUAUAGUUUAACUCCAUAUGAAACCUAGGAUUUUAGUGCUCACAUGGCUUCAAUUGGUCAUGAAUCUUAUUUUUCAUUAUACAAGAGUUCAUUAAACUGUUCAUAUGUAUUUUAUGAAGAUAUCGUCUAAAAAGUUAAAACCUAUUAUACGGUAGUCAAUUCAAUCCUAAAUUUUUUAAUCAUACCAAUUUAGUUCUAAACACUUUGACGAUUUGUUAAUUUAAUGCUAAACCUUUUAAUGAUUUGCCCAUUUAAUCCUUCCAGCUUAAUUCAGGUGAAGUAUUCAAAACUUCCGCUUUGACCGAUCCUUGCGGAUAUAUUUAAAAUGUCCUGUCCAAAUUCAUCAUAUGAAAUUCCAUCUAAAUGAUGACACAAUAGAAAACACUACAAUUAAAUUCUUUGUUAUUUUAAGUAAAGGACAUUAUGAUUCAAAUAGGACGUGUACCAAUAUUCAAAUCAACCAAUUUGAUCAUUGAGCCAGCUCCUUAGAAGUCCGAAGCGCAGGAUUUGGAACGCCAUCAGUUGUUUUUCAUAGAAAGAUAGGCAUUACCUGAAGAUUAGAAUGUUUCAUUUUUAUGGCUUUUGGUUCAAUUUGAGAGAAGGCAAAUUGAAUAAUAAACAACUCAGGAACCAGAAGUUCUAUAUUCAAAUUUCAUUGAUUGCGCAAACUGCUCUAAGUUAGGAUCACUUAUACAAGUUGAAAGCUUACACUUAACGAGAUCGUAAGGUUUGUAGAGUGAUCCAUGGGUUUUUUGGUAGCCAAGUAUCUGCGAUUAUCUCUGGGUAUUCGAUAAAAUAAGAUAAAAUCAAACUAAGACAUUCAAAUAACCACAAAACCAUUCCAUUUCACAAAUCAAUCCAUAGAUUUUUCCGAUAUACAUUUGAUUGCAAAGUCGAAUUGAAUUCAGUUUGGUUUGAAUCACGGGUGACAAAAUAAUUCGGGAAAAUUGUCCAAAAUGUCCUAAACCUAUUACACGUUUACCAAUUCAAUUAUAAACCUUUCAACUUUGUCAAUUGAAUCCUAAACUUUUCAAUAUUUUGCUAAUUGAGUCCAUCCGGCUAAUUUUGGUCGGAAUUUGUUGAUGUGGACGCCGAUCAUCCUACGUGGCACUGCCGACGCUGAUGUGGCAAAAUUUAUUAUUUUUUAAUAUUUUUCUAAUUUUUUAAACAUUUUUUGUAUUUUUAAUUUCUUUGGCCAGUCACCCAAUCUUCGACAAUCGGCUAGAGGCAACAAUUGGCAAGGGUCAACCUCCUUGACCUCGUUGUCCUUAGGUGGGGCUCCCCCUUGCUAGAGGCCAGCAAGGGUUGACCUCGCAAGCCUUAGGCAAGGUUGCCCUCACUGGGAUCUGGCAAGGGGUGACCUUGCCAGCCUUGGGCAAGCUCGCCUUCGUUGGAUCUGGCAAGGGCGAGCCUCGCUCGCAGUCGGCUAGGUCACCCUUCACCUGGUCCCGAUGGGGGCCACCUCACCAGACUUGGCGAGGGUGAGCCUCGACUGAGGUUGGCAAGGCUGACCCUCGUCGAUUGUGGCUUCUAGCCAAUUGUUGGAGGCUGGGCGACUGGCCAUAGGAAAAAAAAAGGGGGAAAGAAAGAAAUAAAAAAAUAAAUUAAAAACAUUAAAAAUAAUUUUAAUAUUCGAAAAAAAAUUAAAAAUGUAUCUACGUCAGCAAAUUCCGGUCAAAAUUGGCCGGAUGGACUCAAUUGGCAAAAAGUUAAAAGAUUUAGGACUCAAUUGAUAAAAAUGUAAUAUGUUUAAGAUUUUUUGGAUAAUUUUCCCAAAUAAUUAGGAUUUUGUUGCCGAAAAUAGGGCUGAAACUUCGUUUUGCCUACUUGGGAAAGCCUGAUACAGGCGAUGCAAUAUGUAUACAGAAUGCUAUUUAUAAGAGAAGAACAAAUUAUUUGUCAUUCUAGACUCGAUUUGUGUUGUAGAAAAUAAAUGAUUUGAAAAACAAUUUCCUAAAAUUAAUCGCUUAUAUUACUUAUAAAAAUUAAUGGACGACACGAAAAUGUCUACACAUAAAUUGUUAUUUAUAAUAAAAAACGUUAUUUAUCGACUAAUUAUUUGAAGUAAUCAAAACGAUCAUUUUUAAGGAGAGAUGUUUUAAAUCUUCCCUUUCUACAAAACAAACGACUAUGUAUACAAGAUGUGCACAUAACAUUAAUAACGUUCAAUAAUGCCUAUUCUUUCAACAUGCUCAUUAAAUGUUUUGGGCGGCAGUCCUUUUGUUAAGGGAUCUGUUAUCAUAAGAUUGGUGCUAAUGUGCUCAAUUGACACUCUUUGUUUCUGAACUUCUUCUUUGACAGACAAGUAUUUGAUCUCCAUAUGCUUAGCACCCUUAGAAUACUUGUCAUUCUUAGAGAAGAAAACUGUUGCAGAGUUAUCACAAUAAAUUUUCAGCGGCUUGGCAAUACUGUCGACAAUCACAAGCCCUGAAAUAAAAUUCCGUAGCCAUAAUCCAUGAAUUAUGGCCUCAAAGCAUGCCACAAAUUCAGCUUCCAUAGUGGAUGCAGCAAUAAUUGACUGCUUUGCACUCUUCCAUGAAAUUGCCCCUCCAGCCAGAAGAAACAAGUAACCAAACGUUGAUUUUCUUGUAUCGGCACAUUCGGCUAAGUCUGAAUCUGAAUAUCCAAUCACCUCGAGAUGAUCAGAUCUUUUAUAAGUGAGCAUAUGAUUCUUCGUUCCUUACAAGUAUCUAAGAACUUUCUUUGCAGCUUUCCAAUGAUCCAUUCCAGGAUUACUUAGAUACCUACCCAGCAUUCCGACAACAAAACUGAUGUCUGGUCUGGUGCAAGUUUGUGCAUACAUUAAGCUCCCCACAAUAUAUGCAUAAGGAAUAUUAUUCAUUUGUUCUCGUUCCAAUUCACUUUUCGGACAUUGCAUAAGGCUAAAUUUAUCACAUUUCUGAAUUGGAACUAUUCCUGCUGAACAUUUACUCAUAUUAAAUCUCUCUAAAAUUUUCUCAAUGUAGGCUUUCUGAGACAAUCCUAAUAAUCCUUGUAAUCUAUCACGGAAUAUUUCUAUUCCUAUCACAUAUGAUGCCUCUCCCAUAUCCUUCAUUUCAAAAUUCUUAGAGAGAAACUUCUUGGUUUCAUGUAACAAACCAAGAUCAUUAGCAGCAAGCAAAAUAUCAUAAACAUACAGAACUAGAAAAAUAAACUUGCUCCCACUAAUCUUCAUAUAUAUACACCGAUCAACGGUGUUUUCCUUAAAUCCAAAUGAAGUUAUGGUAUCGUUAAACUUAAGAUACCAUUGCCGGGAAGCUUGUUUAAGUCCAUAUAUUGACUUCUUUAAUUUACAUACCAUGUGUUCCUUUCCUUUAACUGAAAAGCCUUCGGGUUGGUCCAUAUAAACCUCUUCCUCUAACUUCCCAUUAAGAAAGGCGGUUUUUACAUUCAUUUGGUGUAACUCCAAGUCAUGAUGAGCCACCAAAGCCAUAAUGAUUCUAAGUGAGUCCUUCUUAGAGACCGGUGAAAAUGUCUCUUUAUAGUCAAUGCCUUCUUUCUAAGUAAAACCCUUUGCAACAAGUCUGGCUUUAUGUCGUUCAAUAUUGCCUUUUGAGUCGCGCUUGGUCUUAAAGACCCAUUUACACCCGACCUUCUUACAUCCUUUAGGCAAUUCAACAAUAUCCCAAACUUGAUUUUGAUGUAUGGAUUUUAACUCUUCUUCCAUGUCAUUAAACCAUUCAUUAGAAUCUUCACAUUCCAUGGCUUGGGAAAAUGAAUCUGGAUCAUUUCCAAUUCCUAAGUCAAUUUCUGACUCUUGUAGAUAAACCAUAUAGUCAUAAAAAAUAGCCGACCUCUUUUCUCUUUGAGAUCUCCUUAAUGAUAUUUCUUGUGACUCGGCUAUUGGAGGUUCAUUAUUGGCAUCUCUAUUAUUGAGUGUUUGUUGUUCUCGAUUAUUGUUAGAUUGUACUACAAGAUCAGAAACAACAACUUUAGAAGCUUUAGGCAUAGGAACUUCUACCCUUACUUCUUGAAUGCAAGCAUCAUGCAUUCUUUCACUCCCACUGAUGUCACCAUUCUCAAUGAACCUAGCAUUUCCAGAUUUAACAAUUCUUGUACUAUGAUUAGGACAAUAAAAUUUAUACCAUUUGGAUUUCUCUGCAUAACCAAUGAAAUAACCACUAGUCGUUCUUGAAUCCAAUUUCCUUUCAUGUGGAUUGUAAAUUCUUACUUCUGCUUGACAACCCCAAACAUGCAGGUGUCGUAAACUAGGUUUCCUUCCCGUCCACAGUUCAAAUGGAGUCUUUGAAACUGCCUUACUAGGAACCCUAUUUAAUAAGUACAUAGAAGUCUUUAAAGCAUACAUCCACAAAGAUAAGGGUAAAGAUAAAUGACUCAUCAUACUCCUAACCAUUUCCAUUAAAGUACGGUUACGCCUUUCUGCUACACCAUUUUGUUGUGGUGUACCUGACAUUGUGUACUGAGCACAAAUGCCAUGUCUUUCAAGGAAUUUAGCAAAUGGACCUGGACAUUGUCCCGAUUCAUCAUAUUUUCCAUAAUAUUCAUCGCCUCUAUCCGAUCUUACUAUUUUCACAUUUCUAUCUAAUUGCCUCUCAACCUCUUUAACAUACACUUCAAGUGCAUUCAUUGAUUGAGACUUAUCAUGCAGUAGAUAAAUGUAACCAUAACGUGAAAAAAUCAUCAAUAAAGGUUAUGAAAUAGCUUUCCUUACCAAAAGAUGGAACAUCAAAAGGACCAUAUAUGUCAGUAUGUAUAAUUUCAAGAAGCUCUGUGCUUCUUGUGGCACCUUUCUUAGUGUGCUUUAUUUGUUUACCUUUAAUACAAUCAAUACACACUCCAAGGUCAGUAAAAUCCAAAUUUGGAAUAAUUUCAUUCUUCACUAAUCUUUGCAUUCUUUCUUUGGAUAUAUGACCCAACCGUUUAUGCCACAAGUAAGUAUAAUUUUCAUUCACCAAAUUUCGUUUAGUGCUAACAUUAUGAUGCAAGGUCAUUAAUGUCUCAACAAAAGUAUUAUCAAGUCUAAAUUUGUAGAGACCAUCACAUAAAGUUUCAGUUCCAAUAAGAGUAUCACCCUUAAAUAGACUGAAAGAUUCAGAUCCAAACUUACAAUAAAAUCCCGCAACAUCAAGUCUUGGCAAAGAAACUAAAUUGCGAGAAAAUGUAGGUACAUAAAGGGUUCGAAACAAAUCCAAAUAAUGCCCAGUAUCUAAGAUCAAACGAUAAGUGCCAAUGCCUUCAACUGGAGCUUUGUCUCUGUUCCCCGUAAUCACAUAACUUUCAUUUGGCUUUAUAGUUUGGAUCGUAAGAAAUCCCUGCAUCGUAUUUGACACAUGAGUGGUAGCACCAGAAUCAAUCCACCAAGUAUUAUAAGGAACUUUAGUAAAGUUUGAUUCAAAACAUACUAAAGCACAAGGCUUACCUUUCUUUUCGAACCAAGCCUUACAUUUCAAACAAUCUUUCUUCAAGUGUCCAAUUUUGUUGCAAAAAUGACACUUAAUAAGAUUGUGUUCCUUCUUGUGGAUUUGAGAAGCCUUUGAAGAGUCAUUCAGAACGUGUAGUCCUUUCUUCUUGCUCCUUCCACCUUUCCUCUUAAAAUUCUUUUGAACUUCAUGAUGACUUGAGAGAUAAACAGAAUGAGCCUUUUGAUUCUUCAUCCUUGUUUCCUCUUGAACUAACAUACUGGCCAAUUCGUUUACAUUUCACUUAUCUUUUAUAGUGUUGUAAUUCAUUUGAAAUGACCCAUAUAACUCAUGAGGUAAGGAAUUAAGUAUAAAUUGUACUAAAAAGUACUCAUCCACAUUCAUUCCCAAAGUCCUUAACUUUCCUGCUAAAUUAGUCAUCUCAAGUAUAUGCUCAUGCAUGGUACGCGAACCAUCAUAUUUCAUGGUGGUCAGUAUGCUCAUCAGUGUACCAGCAAGUGACUUAUCAGCAGUUUGAGAACGCUCUUCUACAAAUUUCAUAAAUUCCUUAGCAUUGUUAGUCUUGGGAAGAGAAGUCUUUAAGUUAUUUGCAACUGUCAUUCGCAUGAACAUUAAGCUCAGUCUGUUUGAUCUUUCCCAAGCUUUAUGGAAAGACUUUUCAUCAUCGCUACUUUCAUCAGUAAUAGCAGCUGGUUUCUCAGCUUGAAGUGCUAAAUCAAGAUCCAGGACAACUAAGUGAAACUGGACUUGUUCACUCCAAUCAAGAAAAUUUAUCUCAUUGAAUAAGGGAACAGAUGAGGCGUGCGAAUGAAGUGAAACAUGUACAGAUACUGCAAAUGUGUAAGAAAAUACUCAUACAUUAGUGUUUUGAGAAUAUCACCUAAUCAGAUUCAAACUAAACUACACAUGCACAUCAUAGUUCUCCUUUGGGCGAUCCUAUGAUAUACAAAUAUAUAUAAACCAUAAUGAUGCUAAUAAAUUUUAUUUGAUAAUUGUAAAUAUAUCUUAUUAAAAUUUAUUUGUUAUCUUUGGAUAUACAAACAAAUUUAACAAAUCAUAUUAAUUAUCAACCAUCAUGUUCAUGAAUUAUAAGAAAAUAAUUAACCUUUGGGUUAAUCCCUAAGUUCUUAUAAUAAAUGAACUUCAAUAUACCCAUAACUUCAAUAAUGAUAUAAAACAUAUCAAUUUCAUAUAUAGCAUCAAUUAAUCAUGGGUAAUUGAAUAAAAUAAUUUACAAUAUCAAAAAUUCAAAAGACUUCAAGGUUUGGCCACUUUGGUGACUAACAAACCAUUCAUAAUAUAAAUUUUCAAUAUUAUAAAAUACAAAUAUUUACCAAAUUUGCAUACAAGGAUAAAAAUUUAGCAAAGGCAGGAUAAAAGUAUAAGGGCAAAAUCAUAAAAUCAUAAUUCCAUACGGGUAGAACCAUAAAAUUAUAAUCCAGGAGCAAAAUGGUAAAUAAUUAGCAAUGGCAGAAUCGUAAUUAUAAAUUAAACAGGGGCAGAACAGUAAAUAACCAUCAAAAUGAGGGCAAAACGGUAAAUAGGAGCCUCGCGAGGGGCAAAAUCGUAAAAUUCCGGCACGUGCAGUUGCGUGCGUUGCAACCGCGCGGGAAGCCCCCGCGCGUGACAGCACGUGGAGCCCAUGCGCCUUCUUCCUCGGGCACAGACGCGAUUUUUCGCCGGUUUUUAGUCGUUCCACCGCGGUUUCGCUGCCCGUUUCCUCUCCGGUAGCCCAUUCCAGACACAAAUAAAAUAAUGGGUUUUGAAGAGCAUGCCGGCAAGAUCACAUGGGUCCAAGUUUCAGCGAAAAUGACCAAGAAAUUGGCCCCAAAUCAAGCCAAAGUUUCAGAACACAAAACCUCCACCACCGCCGCUUCCGCCGCUCGAUUAGCCUCCGGCAAACACCAAUAUACCGGAAAAACUCAUGGCUAAUGUUCUUCAUGGCAGUGCGACGGUGUGGGUCCGAAAUCAAGCGGUGGGUUGCCGGAUUUUCCUCGGAACCGGCGAGUUUCUUACUUGCCCUCAAAAUUCCGAAUUUUUCCAUUUUCGUCCAUUUCCACUCGUGCACAGUAACUUUUCUUCACCAUUUUAGUCCAUAAAAAACGUUCCAUCAUUCGGAUUUUCUUUAACAGAACCUUCCAAAACAUUUCAACAACAACAAAUGCUACGAUCAGGAUCAUUCAACAAAUCAUCAUGCAUAAAUCAUAAUAUUUCUUUAAACGGAAAAAUCAUGAGAUCAUAAACCAAAUGCUCUGAUACCAACUGUUAGAUUAUAAUUCAUAUUAAUACUUGAUGCGGAAAUUCAUAACAAAUCAAUGAUCUUUGAUCUUCAUGAUUUUCACAAAUAGAUUCAGACAAACCUUUAUCCAUAGCGCUACGCUUGAUGAUGAUCGUUGUAGAAAACCCAAUGAUCUCGAACCAAAAGGAGAAAUCCGAUUUCUCUCCCUUAACCCACUAAACCUUAAUGUAUUCAAUUAAUGGAGGAGAGAAUACGUUUUUUCUGUUAUUGUUGUUCGUAUGUGGGUGGAGAGAGGACCGGACUCUAUUUAUACGUUCAUUGAAAAUGUGUCUUCUAUCAAAGCGAUAUACCCUUUCGUUUUAUUAGAUUCAUACCUUAUCGUAACCAAUAAUUAUUUAUAGUAUUUCAAUGAUUUAUUAAACCAUAUAAUAAAUCACAUAAUAUAGGCCACAAUAAUUCUUACAGCCGCAGCUCAAACAUGGCAGGCGGAAGCAGCACAGAGCAAAGCCAUGAGGAGAACCUUAGCCAAUUGGUCUCUCUAGCAUCAGUCUGAAUACAAUGAAAUACUCCAAAUUCAUCUCCCUCCACCUUUGCAACGACCGAAUAGCAUCCACCACCAACGCAUGUGGGGUUCCGACAAAGGUGAUCUGAAAUAAGGCCCCCUCAUGAUCCUAGUAAAAGCUAUUCAAUGACAUUUGAAGAUUGGCAGCGUUUCAAGGACUGGCGUUGCGAUGUUCAGCGAGGUGAUAUACCUAAGAUAACGCGAUGGUUUCUUCCACUCCUUCCCCAUCUUACCACCCGAUCAUCACUCAUAUCCUUUCAACGUAUAUCAAUCAACAUCAAUAGUGAAGAAAUAAGAUCCUAAAAUGACCAACACCUGAACGGAUCGCCACCUAAUACGGAGUAUGCGCCUAGGGGCAGGGACACCACCCUCAGGCUGAACCUUUGAUAUCCUGGCAGCAGCGCUGCCGGAUCACGAUUGCCAUGGAAGCUCCAUCAGUUUUUUCGCCUGUCCACAUUUCCGCAACCAAUUUCCACAAUCAGCAUGCAAUUAAAGCAAAAUCGAUCUACGAAGAUCCAACGAAAUCAUUUUAUAAAAGCAACAGAUGAUCCAUUCCCCCUCCCAAAAAAACAAAAAAAGAAACACAACAAUGGAGCGUAGGUCGUGGGAUGAAAACAAAUAUACUUGCACCCACGAACUAACUUUCAAUCGAAAAGACUGUUCCAAAUUUCACACCUAAAACUUACACUGCAUACUCUAGAACUUGACACUUACUUUGUCUUAUUCCAGAGUCGGUUUCAAAUUCUACUUAGGUUCCAUCUGUAUUAUUAACUGAACGAUUGUGAUAAAUCAUCUUUAAAUGACUACCAUUUAUUACUACAAUCCACUAAAGAUAACUUAUAUCUAAACACACGAAAAAAACGAAAUAUUAAUAAAGUAAAAGUUUUAUUCAUAAAAAGGAAGCUUGACCUAAUGAUUCCAAAUUAUACACUUAUCAUUAGACGUCAUGGAAUACCGCGAGAUCGUGCAAAAAUAUAAACCAAGAAGCUCUGAUGUCCUAGCAGUGGUGUCACUGGAUCACGAUUGCCGUAGAAGUUCCAUCAAUUUUUUCACCUGUCCACAUUUCCCAAUCUCCACAAUCAGCAUGCAAUUAAAGCAAAAUCGAUCUUACGAAGAUUUAACAAAAUCAUUUUACAAAAGCAACGGAUGAUUUAUUCCCCCUGCCAAGAAAAUGAAAAAAAAAAAAAAAAAAGAACAACAACAACAACAAUGGAGAGUAGGUCAUGGGAUGAAAACGAAUAUACUUGCACCCACAAACUGACUUUCAAUAGAAAAGACCGCUCCGGAUUCCACAUGAAACUUACCCAUCGGGAUAGUUUUUUCUUAAUCUGACACUUGCACUGCAUAUCUUAGAACUUGAAGCCCACUCUGUCAUAGAUUUUAGGGUUGGUUUCAAGUUCUAUUCAGGUUUCACCUAUAUUAUCUUUAAAUGACCACCACUUGCUACUACAAUUCAGUAAAGAUAACUUACAUUUAAACACACACAAAAUAUGAAAAAUUAAUAAAGUAGAAGUCUCAAUCAUAAAAAGAAAGCUUGAUCUGGUAAUUCCAAAUUACACACUCAAUACCAGACACCUUGGAAAACUGUGGGAUCGUGAAAAGAUAUAAAUCAAGAAAAAUACAAAAACUUGUUUCAGAUUCCAGAGUCCACCUACUUAGACCCUAUAACUUGUACAUUGAAAUAGAUUUCCUAAUUUUUGGAAUUUGAAACCUACCCUACAUAUCUUAAAACUGAAUAGGUUUCCACUAGUCCAAUUUUUCAGUUUCGGAUUUUAUCCUAGAACUAGGCUCACCCCUAAAUAAUAUCUUGCCCCAAAAGGGGCAUCCAUAUUUGGUCACAGCAACACCAUUUUGUCUUUUAACCAUUUUAGUGCCUUGCAUUAUCGGAGUCCAUCAUGUUUAAGCUAAGGACAAGAAGGGUGGACAGUGUUGAAGUGAAUUUUCAAAAGGAAAAAACUAACUCGUUCAUCGCUUUUAAUAAUUCUAUUUAGCUGCAAAUUAUCGAGGAAAAUGGGAAAUAAAGAAAAUUACAUUUAGAAAGAAAAGGUAAAAGAAAAGGGCAGAUUCCAUACGACGCGGCGGAGCUCACCACAAGGGCAGAAGAGUCAAAUUGGGUGUCUUACCUUUUGCUUUCGGCGAUUGGCGCCGGACUGAGCGAGGGCCAUGAGGAGCGGAACCGCCCCCGCCAGACCUACUUUCGUCCGGUACUCAAUGCUAUCCUCGCAAAGCUGCAACAACACCCCCACUGCAAUCUCCUUCUGCCUCUGCGUCCCCACCUCCACCAGCUCCACCAGCACCGGUAUCCCCUCCUCCUCCACCAGCGCCACCCUCGCCUCCACCGCCCCCAGCAGCCUGCUCACCACAGACACCGCCAUCUCCACCAUGCUCGAGCCCAGGUCUGCCAUCAGCCCCACCAGCGGCUGCAUCACCCCCGCCUGCACCGCCCUCCCCUUGUUCUCCUGGGCGGAGCAGAGUAAGUAGAGCGCCGUGCAGGCGUCCUCCUUCCCCCGUGACCCCCCUCUCUCCAGGAGGUUCACCAGCAGCGGGAUCGCCCCAGACCGCCCGAUCGCCACCUUGUUCUCCUCGAUCUGCGAGAGGUGGAGCAGCGCGCACGCCGCGUUCUCCUUCACUGUCGACGUCCCCUCCCUCAGGGCCCUCACCAGCGGCUUUAUCGCACCGUACGCUGCUAUCAUCUUCUUGUUCUCGUCGCAGAGCGAGAGGUUGAGAAUCGCUGUGACGCUGUACUCUUGCACCUGAGCAGACAAGAAAGUGUUUUUAUGCAACAGUUAAUUACAGUUAUAUCCAACUGUUACCAAUUCCAUUAAAUUUCAAAAAUUAUACUCCACCAAUCGGCGACAAUGAAUAACCGAUCCACAAAAUUCUUUCUUGUAGUUACCUCAGGAUCGGAGGACGAGAUGAGAGUGAUGAGAGGCUUGAUCGCACCGGCCCGGGCAAUGCGGACACGGUUCUCGGGCUUGUUCUUGGUGAGGCACCUGAUCUUGAGGGCAGCCUGCUUCUGCUUGUCAAGGCAGCAGGAGUCAAGGUCGCGGACGAGCAGGCAGAUGAGGUCGUCAGAGGCGCAGGCGCUGUCAUUCGAACAGGGGUCACAAGCAUCUUGCGUGAUCAAAUACUGAACUUCCUUUCCAGGGAGAAGAAAAGGAAUACCGACACCGCUAGCAUGUACGGGUUUGCUGUCUCCAGUUAAACUAAAUAAAUUUAUCAAGAGGGAACCCCCGCUAAUAAAAAGUCCAUCAGCUGGCACUUGAUCCCCAAUGUUAAGAUGGAGAAUAUCGCCUGGAAGAAGAUCAUAUGUAGAUAGUUUUCGUCUAAGACCGUUUCUGAUCACCGGUUUUUCCUCAUGACUUCUUAGUUUUUUCUCAUCGUCGGCCUCAUCAAUGGAUUCCAAUUCUUCUGCACAAAUUUGAAAUCCUGCAGCCUCGACAUUUUCAGGUACUUUGUAAUCACUCAGUCCUGCAGGCAUCCAGGUAUGACUAAACAUGAGAAAAAUAACAAAACAGAAUAAGGAAAAUAAAAGGAUUUACUUUUAUUGAAGGAUUAUCACCUUGGAUGAACUGAAUUGCAGCCUGCGAAACUAUGACAGCAACCCUAAAAUUUGUCUGCAGCAAUCAAAAUGAAAUUAGAAAAGAAUGAAGACGAAAAUUAAGAGCACGGAACAACAAAACUAUUAACUAGUGCGAUCACUCGUGUAAUCUACUCGAGAACAGGUACCAAGGAAGAUAGAGCCUUAACAUUCCAAAGAGCAAGUCAUUUUGGACUACAAAUCUGAAAACAGCUCAUUUUCAAGAUAAAGUCAUAAAACAAAAGCUUAGCAAUCGCACAGGCAAAAAAAAAAUCUCUCUCUCUCUCUCUCUCUGAGGUUAGUGCAAGAUCUCAAGUUCCCCGGCGAUAAGAGAGAGGAAACAAAACAGCGGCAGACCGGCCUUAAACGUGUGACGAAUAGCAUCAGCUUCCGAUCGCUUGCUCAGAUUAGCCGUGAACCGGAACCUACGUUUCGGGUUCUUCACCAACCAGCACGCCUUUCGCCACCUCUGGAGCGCCUCCUCCGACGAGUUCUUUGCCUUCACAUCCCCGAAAUUUUCCUUCAAGUAGUUGUCCAUGUCUCCUACUCGAGCCGAAAAAGCUCCCAACUCCGAAUCGGUGUGUAUUUACAAAAGCCCUAAAACCCGACCUAAUCUCCAGCGAGGUAAAAACCUCGGCAGUAUCAGCAAAUAUUUACUACUAUAGAUCCUGAGGUUUCUGCAGUUACUGCCGAAUCGUGCGUAUUUACAGAAGACUCCGAUCCGAUCAGUGAAUCGAGCGGGAGACUAGAGCUGACCGCGGAAGAUUCAAC